ACUGCUGCAAUUGUCAACACCAUAGUUAUGUAAAACACACCAAAGCUGGCAUAGAAACUGUCCAUGUCUAUGAAGCCACCAUCUCCAUUGAAAUCGUUAGGCACUCUUGCGGAUGGUGAUUCUGUUUUGUCGCAACUGUUUUGCAAUGGAGGUCCACAAAGAAGAGGAUUCCCUUUAUAACUGCUCUCAUCAAAGGUACCAAAUUGAUUUUUCAUCUCCAGUGUUCUUCCUGACAAAUUAUUGUACGACACGUUGAAAACUUCUAGAAAGGUCAGUUCAACGAGUUGUUCUGGAAUUCUCCCAUUCAAGGUGUUGUGAGAAAGAUCCAAGCUCUCUAUCUGCUUCAGAUUGGAGAAAGAUGGAGGGAUCAAUCCAGUGAGAUUAUUUCGCGACAGAUUUAGAGAGUAUAUCCCACUUAAGUUUCCCCAUUCUGUCGGGAUUUCUCCAGUGAAUCUGUUACAAGAAAGGUCCAUAACAGACAUGUAACGAAGGAUAUCGCCUUCGUAAGAGUAGAAAUUUUUCUUUGUUGUAAGCUCUACAGAUAUUUUUACACUGAUCUCUGGCCACAAAAUUUUGCCAUAAAGAUAAAAACCUUCGUGCUCCAAUUCUCUUUCCCCCAUGGAUGCAAAUAUUUCUUUCCGGCUUCCAUCAUCUUGUGAGUACGUACUAGUGACAACCCAAGUUUUUUCAUAUGAUGCCGUAAAAUCUAAAUUGCUCAAACAUGAGGGUAACAGACUAGAAAAAUUAUUUUCUGAAAGAUCCAAUAUGCUUAAUUUCCUUAACAAGCAUAAUUGAACAGGAAGUUCCCCAUUGAAUUGAUUAGAUUUCAAAAGAAGAAAACUCAAUUCCGAAAGUCUAUCAAUCCAAUUUGGAAUUGGCCCAGUUAAGUUGUUAUAGCCGAGAUCUAAUGUCACCAAAGAAGAGAUGUUAUAAAAAGCAUUUGGCAGUGGACCGGUCAAUCGAUUUCCGUAUAGGUGGACAUAGCGUAAAUGCGGUGCAUAAAAGCCCAACGGCAAAGACCCAGACAAAUUGUUUUCAGAAAGAUCUAAAAAUUCAAGCCUAGAAGGAUUGAAAUAUUCUUUUGGAAUGGUACCUUCAAACUGAUUUCUGGACAAAUCAAUUGCCUGAAAGGGGUAUAUUGAAGAGUUCCCAAUUCCCCUUGGAAGCAUGCCUGACAAAAGAUUGUUACUUAUAUCAAACCACAAAAAUGAUGAUGCAAGAGAAAAGGUACCAGAUACUUGUCCUGCAAAUUUGUUUCCGUCGAGAAAGAGGUACUCUAGGUGAGUCAUGUUGAACAAAGAGAGUGGUAAUCGCCCUUUGAAAUUGUUAUUGGACAGCUUUAAGGACCACAACGAGGAGCCUACUGCUGGAAAAUUAUGCUUAAGCAGUUCACAAGACAUCUGAUUGUUGGAAAGAUCAAAGUAUUCGAGAGAGCUCAUAUUCCCAAAACAAGGAGGAAUACAACCUGUGAGGCUGUUGUUAGCCAUCAUGAAGUUUUUCAAACGUGGAAAAAUCGAACAUAUGUUGCUUGCAAUUUGACCAUGUAUGUUGUUGCCAGACAUAUCUACUGUCUGAAGGUUGGGUGUUGGAUGUUGUGGCAGCUGCAAAAGACUUGUAAAUGAGGUGUCUCUCAAAUAUAGCCGAUUUAACUUUCUAUUAUUCUCAAACAGCCAAGAUGGGAAAGGUUCUCCAACGAAUUUGUUGUGGGAUAGAUCAAGAAACACCAAAUCAUGUUGGCUAUGCAGGAAGUUUGGAAAUCCAGCUCUGAGUGGUUUUGAAGUACAGUUUGAAGCACUGAAGUAACGAAGCUGGAACUUGGGAGCUGAAGGCUGAAAACUGGGUGCAGCUAUCAGCUCAUUGUUAUCGCAUGCAAUGAACUUGAGGUUGGAGAGGUUCAUAAAUGAACCAAAUGUUAUUGGAACUUGAAAGUAGUUACUUGAAACUGAGAGGUAUUCAAGCUGCGUAAGAUGGGAAAGGUGACUAGAGGCAAUAUUUCCCUCCAAUUGGUUGUCAGAUACAUCCAAGAUUUGUAGAGAUGAUAGAUUUCCAAAACAAGGAGGGAGUACGCCCUUUAGAUAGUUUCUUGAGAGAUAUAGCUUUUCAAGAUUCUUCGGUUCACACCAGCCUGCAGAAUAUAUCAAUAUGUUCAUAUAUCAAUUAUGUAAUUGCUUGGUGAGGUUUUAAAGUUUUAGUUGAUUCUUGUUUCAUUACCUAGGUCGGUUUUAGAUUAUAUUUAAACAACUUUGUUUGUUAGUUUUUUAAAAGAUUAAUUAUCUAUAUUAUUGAUAUUCAUAAUUUUUUUAAUUCAAAGUUUUUUCUAUAAUUUAAGACAGAGAAAUUUUAGAGAUUCAGAAACUCUAGAUUUUAUCCUUUUCUAUACAUAACAUUAUGAGUAAAUUUCUAGUUUAAUAAAACAUAGAUAUAACAAAAUAUCUAAUGAACAACUGUUAUUUGGAUUUCAAUACUCUUAUAAUUGUUCAUUUGUAGAAUUACCAUCCCAAUAUCCAUAUAAAUUCAAUGAAAUAUAAAUUUGUGUGUUAAUUUUUUGAUAUUAUAUCAAUAUUUUAAUAACCAAAUAUUCAUGAAUUCUAACAUAUCACAUAUAAAUUCUAACUAGUUGAUCCUUUAAUAAAAUUUUAAAAAUUGAACAAAAGUUAAUGGUUAAUACACAUCUAUUUAUUAGACAAAUUCACUAAAGAAUAAAUUAAGCCUCACUAAGGAAUGUCAUCCAAGGAAGGAAUGAUUUACAACUUUACCAUUGAGACCAGUUGAUCCUGUGAACAUAUUGUCUGAUAGAUCUAGAGAUUUGAGAGUUGAAAAUCCAUUGAGAGAUGAUAAAAUGCUGUCGUUAAAUUUAUUGUUACUUAGAUAAAGUUCCUCCAAAUUCCUCAACCCUGAAGCUAGGACUUGAAAACCUGAAAGAAAAUUGUCGGAAGCAAAGAAAUUAACAGAUAUAUAUAUCAACCAUCCCAAUAUCCAUAUAAAUUAAAUGAAAUAUAAAUUUGUGUGUUAAUUUUUUGACAUUAUAUCAAUAUUUUAAUAACCAAAUAUUCAUGAAUUCUAACAUAUCACCUCCAUUCUUUUAAUAAAAUUUUAAAAAUUGAACAAAAGUUAAUGGUUAAUACACAUCUAUUUAUUAGACAAGUUCACUCAAGAAUAAAUUAAACCUCACUAGGGAACGUCAUUUGAGGUAGGAAUGAUUUACAACUUUACCAUUGAAACCAGUUGAUUCUGUGAAUCUAUUGUUUGAUAAAUCUAGAGAUUUGAGAGUUGAAAAUCCACUGAGAGAUGAUAAAACACUGUUGUUCAAUUUAUUGUCACUUAGAUAAAGUUCCUCCAAUUUCCUCAACCCUAAAGCUAGGACUUGAAAACCUGAAAGAAGAUUGUCAGAAGCAAAGACAAUUAAAAGAUUUAUAUAUCAACCAUUUCAAUAUCCAUAAAGAUUCAAUGUAAAGUUACUUGAAACAUAACUAACUUUAUGUGUUAACUAAAAAAAAAUUGAAAGCAUAGAACCUUGGUUCUUUAAGCCACCAACUAAUUGGUUGCCGCUUAAGUCGAGAAUCUCCAGUUCUUUGAAAGGCAGAAACAAAGGUGCAUUGAGAUCCAAGUCUUCGACUGCAUCAUAAUUUACAUAUGAAAGAUGUAGUUCGAUCACUCGGUUUGUGGUGUUGUCACACACAACCCUAUAAUAAUCCCAGUUACAGCAAUUAAAGUGCUCUUUAUCCCAACGUUCUAGCGGAUCAUAGGACCCAGCUGCACGUGCAUGAUAGAACCAAGCUUUUAUCUCUAAGAGACUAACUCUCUCUUCCUCCACACAACAAUGGCUCCGGUCGUUGAGGAAGGCCAGUGCCAUGAGCAGCAUCCACACCCACAUUUGCCUCAUCUUCAUAUUAACGCUCCUACUUGACAAAAUACAAAAGCAAGCAAGCUGUCUCUUAUAUACAAAUUAAUUUGUCCUCUUCAUUUGAUCGGACUUAAUUAUCUGUAUCAUUGAAUUUUCUAUGCUGAAUUAAUUAUCCAAGGGAGACUUGGGCUGAAUUGAAUGGGAGAAUCUUCACGGACAGAUCCAGGGGCCCGCACCACGGCACAGAUCGCUCGGUUUGUGGUGUUGGAUUAAAGGAUAUUAAUUCCAACUUCUUGUUUACUGCUUUACUUUUCUUCAUAGACUUGGGAAGUCAGGUGCUGUAUAUGAACAAUUGAUUUGAUCUUAUGAAAUACACGGCAGAAGAGAUUAGAAAAUGACUUCUAUUAUCAAUAAUUUCUUCUUACUGCACCUACUGAUUUUUAUUUCUUUUGAAAUAUUUAGAAUAUCUCUUUUGAAAUAUCAAUAUCGCCUACCCCACUUCCUUCAUUUUUGUUAACGGAGUGAAAUGAUUUCAACACGUGUCCAUGCAUCUGCCAGCUACCCUAAUUAAUCUGCACUAACAGUGACCAUAACAGCUGUAACAAUACUCCCUCAAUACUUGUAACAUCAUCCUAAUAUAUAUAUAAUAGAUUGGAAGCAUGCAUGGGUUUCUUACAUGAUUAACUAAACUUAAUCUUGUAAUAUUGAAUUAUUUGAUGAAAACAUUAUCUAAAACAAGAUUAAUUGAUAUAUUUAAAGUCAAAUAAAAAACAAACCCUGCUUAUUUUUAAUAUUAAAAAUUAUUUCUAACAUAAAUUUUUAACAUAAUAAUUUAUCAAAAUUAAAAUAAAUUAGAAUCACCGUUUGAGCAAUUGAUUUGAUCUUGGGCCCACAAUUAUUUUCAUUAGCCUGUUAAUAUUUUUCUUCAAGCUUGUGGAACAGGUUGUUCCUUUAGGCUACUUUGCUUCUUCUUUUUUUUCUUCUUAGACUUGGGAAGUUAUUUGUUUGAACAUUUAAUUUAAGUUUUUAUGGUUGUUUGUUUUUGUGUUUUAAAAGUAUUUUUAAAUAAAUUUUAAAUUUUUUAAUUUUUUUAUUAACUUCAAAUUAAUAUAUUUUUAGUGUUUUCAAAUCAUUUUGAUAUGCUAAUGUCAAAAAUAAUUUUUAAAAAAUAAAAAAAUAUUAUUAAUAUAUAUUUUAACAUAAAAAAUUAUUUAAAAAACAAUAAUAUAAUCUCAUCAUCCAAUAUCGCUUGUUUUUAUUCUUCGUAGACAUGUGAAGUAAAGAUUCCCAAUUAUCCACUGCAUCAAUCUCUAUCCCAUCAAAAUGAAUUUGGUGCAAGAAAAAAAUAUCUAAUAUAUGUGAUUUACUCAUUAUGCAUAUUUAAGAUUGCUAAAGGAAAAUAUUUAGUUUAAUUUCACAUAUAAGCUAAUUCGAUAACACUUUUUAAUAUAAAACCAAAAAAAAAAAGAGUGCUAUCGUCAUCAACUUUAUUUGGUUUCAAUUUAUGACGUUUGACAUAUAAAUUCUGUUCAAUUUAAAUCAACUUUUCAAUAAAUAGUGAAUGUUAAUGAGCACAGUAGCGAGAACUAAGCAGUGUUAUGUGUACUUGGAACCAAGGUUGUUAAAAUCGUGUUUUGACUCGUAAAAUCGUACGAUUUUACGAGUCAAAACAUGUAUUACGGGUUGAAUCGCUUGAAAAAAUCAAAAAUAGCUAAAAUCGGGUUGAAAUCGAGUGAAAUCGCGAUUUCAGGACCGAUUUUGCGAUUUUGACAAAAUAAGGCCCUGAAACAAAAUCCUCCCUCCUGGAUAGCUGUCAUGCCUAUUGGAUUAUUCCUGCACAGUCUUACUCAUACACAACGUUUCAUGUCUUCCUUAGCUCUCGUGUCUAGCGUGAAUAGGAAGGUCCCCGUGUUGGUCAAGCAGGAAUGUCUGGAACUAGUUGCUAUGUGUAAUAAAAAAAACUUUGGCAGGAUAUGAACAGAAUGAAGAAUUACAAAGAUGAAAUCUCUCUCUCUCUCUCUCCCCUUCCUUCUUCUUAUCUCUUUCACCAUUCAUGCUGCAACCCUCCUGUUGAUUUCUGGAAAUGGUUCAGAACCAUUCCAUCGCAUUCAAUUCCCCUGGAUAUAUUUCUGGAAAUGUAAUUUUUAAUCUAUUAAUUUUUUUUAUAAAACAUAUUAACCGAAUAUUAUUUCAAUUUCACUCGAGUUUUAUGGUAGAAACUGGUGAAGUGUGUGUAUAACACCUGACAAUAUUUUAAGAUGCUUGAACUAUAUAUGAAUUUUUAUUUGAAGGCUUGAAAUAUGUAUGAAAUUUUAUUUGAAACAUGUUUUUUAAUGUGCUUGAACUAUGUAUGAAUUUUUAUUUGAAACAUGAAUUUUUUUUAAUGUAUUUCAAAAUUCCUUACGAUUUUACGAGCCGUUUUUACAAUCCGAUUUUGUGAAGGGCUUUCCGUUUCGUUCUAAAAUCGCGAUUUUAACAAUCUUACUUGGGACUGUGAAUAAUGUACACUUUAGCUCUCUUCAUACAGUCAAUUGACUUUGACACAGUAAAAAUGAAAAAAAAAUUACUCCGUCGAUUGGUGAUUAAACUACAAUACUAAAUAUACCAACUCUGUGGAUUUGUGAUUAAACUUGGAAAAAAACAACAAUACUAAAAAAAGCCAUAUGUGAAUUUGUGAUUAAGAAAAUUCAUUAUUUUAUUUUUUGACAUAUUAGGUUCCACUAGAUGCACCCAGUCAAUGUGAGUGGUUGUCUUUUUUAUUAUUUAUGAGGAUCCAAUUGAUGCAUCAAGUCUAGGGCUCCACAAUCACUGUCACUAGUCAAUUCCGCCAACUUGUUGCGUAAACUACUUUGCUUUCUCUUCAUAUAUAGACAUGGAAAUCAUGUGGAAUCAAAAAAUUUAUUCCUUAACCUUUUUCAUGGAAUGAAGUGAUUUCCCAGUAGCAUCAUCAUCCACUUGCACUUUUUUUUUCUUCGUAGACUUGAGAAGUCGGUCAAGAUUCCCAAUAUAUUAUCAACAUCAUCAAUUUAAAAAAGAAAUAUAUGUUAGGUUGAUUUAUAUGUUAGGCUGAUUUACUUCCAUAUUAAUUAUUGUUUGAAUAUUCUUAAUCCGAAUGAUAUUAGUCCAUUCAAAACAAAUUCAUUUUCUUUUUUUAUAAAUAUAUUUAUAUAACUACCAAAGAAGAAAAUGCAUUGAUUAAAAUAUUAUUAAUCUGUUUGAAUGAAGAAAGUUAAGGCAGAGAUGACCAACCUAAACACCGUGUGGGCCAAUAAAAUUGAAAACAAAAGAUAAUAUCAAUGGCUUGCAAAAAAAAAGGGUUUGUGUUAAAUUUAUCUAUAUGUUAAAUUACUUGAUUUACUAAACUUAAUCAUGUAAUAUUGAAUUAUUUGAUGAAAACAUUAUCUAAAACAUGAUUAAUUGACAUAUUUAAAGUCAAAUAAAAAACAAAUCCUGCUUACUUUUAAUAUUAAAAAUUAUUUUUUAAUCUAAACUCUUUAGCAUGAAAAUUUAACAAAAUUAAAAUAAAUUAUGAUUACUAUUUGAGCGAUUGAUUUGAUCUUCGGCCCCACAAUUAUUUUUGUUAGUCUGUGAAUGUUUUUCUUCAAGCUUGUGAAACUGGAUAUUCCUCUGUAAUGUAAGUUCCUUUGUUUUUUUUCUUCGUAGACUUGAAAAGUCAUUUGUUCGAACAUUUGAUUUUCUGAUAAGUCAAUCAUCCACUGCAUCAAUCUCUAUCCCAUUGUUAGUCUGUGAAUUUUCUAUGCUGAAUUAUCCAAGGGAGACUUGGGCUUCAUUGAAUGAGAGAGUCUUCACGGCACAGAUCGCUCGGUUUGUGGUGUUGGAUUAAAGGAUAUUCCAACUUCUUGUUUACUGCUUUGCUUUUCUCCGUAGACUUGGGAAGUCAAGAUUCCUAUAAUCCACAUCAUCAAAAAAACCCAAAUCGAUAAUGUGGUGUUGGAUUAAAGGAUAUUAAUUCCAACGUCUUGUUUACUGCUUUACUUUUCUUCAUAGACUUGGGAAGUCAGGUGCUGUAUAUGAACAAUUGAUUUGAUCUUAUGAAAUACAUGGCAGAAGAGAUUAGAAAAUGAUUAACAGAUAUAUACAUCUCAACCAUACCAAUAUCCAUAAAGAUUCAAUGUAAAGUUACUUGAAAUAUAAUUAACUUUAUGUGUUAACUAAAAGAAAAUUGAAAGCAUAGAACCUUGGUUCUUUAAGCCACCAACUAAUUGGUUGUCGCUUAAGUCGAGAAUCUCCAGUUCUUUGAAAGGCAGAAACAAAGACGCAUUGAGAUACAAGUCUUCGACUGCAUUGAGAACAUCAUAAUUUACGCUAUAAAGAUUUAGUUCGAUCACUCGGUUUGUGGUGUUGUCACACACAACCAAAUCCCAGUUACAGCAAUUAAAAUGCUCUUUAUCCCAACCUUCUAGCUGAUGGGACCCAGGUGCACCUGCAUGAUUGAACCAAGCUUUUAUCUCUAAGAGACUAACUCUCUCUUCCUCCACACAACAAUGGCUCCGGUCGUUGACGAAGGACAGUGCCAUGAGCAGCAUCCACACCCACAUUUGCCUCAUCUUCAUAUUAACGCUCCUACUUGACAAAAUACAAAAGCAAGCAAGCUAUCUCUUAUAUACAAUUUUGUCCUCUUCAUGCAUUUGAUCGGACAGUGACAAUUAUCUGUAUCAUUGAAUUUUCUAUGCUGAAUUAAUUAUCCAAGGGAGACGUGGGCUUCAUUGAAUGAGAGAGUCUUCACGGCACAGAUCGCUCGGUUUGUGGUGUUGGAUUAAAGGAUAUUCCAACUUCUUGUUUACUGCUUUGCUUUUCUCCAUAGACUUGGGAAGUCAAGAUUCCUAUAAUCCACAUCAUCAAAAUGAAUGUGAUCGAAGAAAGGAAAAAAUGAAAAAAAAAAAAAAACAUUAACAGUGGCUUACAAAAAAUAAAUAAAUAAAUAAAACCAUCAAUUACGAGCUUCAUAAGAUAAUUUUAGCUUAAAAAAACCCAAAUCGAUAAUGUUUUCUUUAACAUUGGUAUCCGUUUAAUCAAUCUUCUGGUUUGAUCCUUGAUAGUGCUGUGUUUUGAUGCUUGUCGAUUAGCCACAAUAAUGUUAAAUUUACAAGGACAGAUCCAAGAAAAGCAAUGCAGGCCUGUUUUGGUCUCUGGGAGUCCCCUGAUAAAGGCUGCAACUAUUGCUUGAACCCUUGUAAAGGGGCCUUUACACAUGCGGUCCACUGAGAAGUACAACACCGUUCUUUAUUUAAUUCUUAUGGUUUAAAUCUACUAAUAACUUAGUCAUUUUGCAUGCUAUUUUUCCACUUGUUUUGUAAAAUAGAGAAAAGAACUGUUAAGCAUGCUGGAUAUUUCGCAUAAUAAGCUCCGGGUCCUUUAUCCUCUUGUUUGUCCAAUUUAACUUUCAUGGCAAACGAUGCAAAAUGCUAUGUAUCUUUUACUUGGCCUAGUAUUCAAUAUUUUGAUCAGUCAAAUCUUGUACUCAUGGGUUUGCCUCAAGUAGGCGAUUCUUAUCGGGAAAAUAAGUACACAAACAACAUUGCAGAUUAAUCUGUCGAGUUCUCAACAAAAAGACAGUCAUACUCCUAUCGAGAUGUGACGCGGAACAAUAAGUAAAAAGAAUUAAAGCAAGAAAAGAAAGAAGCUUUAAAGAAGAAAGAAGCUAAAGAAGAGGAGGAGAGGGGUUGGAGAUGUGCAAAUCUGCAAUUUUCAUUCAUUCAAAAAAUGUCUUCCCAAAUGACAAAGAGCAUAUAAAUAGUCUCAACCUAGAACAUCCUGCUAUUGGGCUUGGCCCAUCAAACCAAAUUGUUUAACAUAAAUAAUAAAAAUAACAAUGAGCAAGCCCAAAUGGGCUAAAUAAAUAAAAUUACAAUGAGAUAGGCCCAAUGGGCUUAGUCUCCCAACCAAAGCGUGACAGGCUGGGCCAUCCUACGUCGUCUCCGUCCAUAUACUCGUGUAAUCUGUGGCGUGGGCCUGGUGUCCUCACCAACUCUCCUGGGGUUAGAGAAACUCGACCUUGUCGAGCGUAGCAGUGGCCGACUCUGAUAGUACUCCCAAAGAUCUGGGUCAAGCUGCUGCAAAGUAUCUCUAGUAAUCCAAGUGCAGUCUGAGUCGGGUCGACCCACCCAGCGAACUAGAAACCGCUGAAUCUCACCAUUCCUAUUAAAAACAACUUGUUCAUCCAGAAUAGCAUCAAUAUUAUCCUUUUGUGCUGAUGUCAAAGUAAAAAGGGAUAGGGGUUUAUUAGGAUCAUCAGGAGGGGGUUAAGUGGUGUUCAAUGGGUCAUUUGGAAUAGGAAGUGGUUUGUGGUAUGCAACUAGAUCCUCAAUGUUAAAUGUAGAGCUAAUGCCAAAAUCAUGUGGUAAAUCAAGAACAUAAGCAUUUGGACCAACCCGUUGUAGCACUUUGAAAGGCCCGCACUACGUGCAUGCAAUUUUCGAUUAGCUCCCGAAGGAAACCGUUCGGGUCUAAUCCGUUAUCAUAGUCUCCAACAUUAAACUCAUUAUGUCGUCUAUGUGCAUCAGCUUGAAGUUUAUAUUGCGCAUUACUUGCUUGAAUUUGUUUAGUGAUCUCAAUAUGCAAAUCCUGAAUUCUACGUGCAAAAGACUCGGCUGACUCAGACACUCUAGCAUGAAGGGACAUGGGAAGAAGAUCUAAAGGUUUCCUAGGCUUGUAACCAUGUACAACUUCAAAGGGACUCAUGCCUAUUGACCUAUUGAUGAGCUAUUAUAGGCAAACUGGGCUAGGAAGAAUCAGAUCCCAAUUCCGAUUAUGAUCACUCACUAGACACCUUAAAAGGUUACCCAAACUCCUGUUAACCACCUCAGUUUGACCAUCAGUUUGGGGUGGUAAGCAGUAGAAAACUUCAAUUUGGUUCCCACCAUAUGCCAAAGGGUUUUCCAGAAAUAACUUGUAAAUCUAACAUCCCUAUCUGAAACUAUGGUUUGGGGAAGGCCGUACAACUUGACAAUCUCGUCAAAAUAGAGUUUUGCGACUCUGGAAGCAUCUGUGGUCUUAGUACAAGGAAUAAAAUGGGCCAUCUUAGAGAAGCGGUCGACAACCACAAAAAUAGAAUCAUGUUUCUUUGCAGUACGUGGAAGCCCAAGCACAAAAUCCAUGCUUACAUCUUGCCAAGGGCAAGUAGGCACGGGUAAUGGAGUGUAAAGACCAGUAUUUUGUUUUCUAUGCUUAGCGAGUUGGCAAGUUCGACACUGACCUACUAAUUUGGCGACAUCUCUUUUCAAACUAGACCAAAAAAACUGACGUUCCACUUCUUCGAUGGUUUUAUUCCUUCCAAAAUGUCCUGAGAGACCUCCAACAUGAAUCUCCCAUAUCAAAAAAUCACGCACAGAUGUUUUCAGGAUACAAAGCUUAUUAUCUCGAAAUAGGUAUCCAUCUUGGAGGUGAUAACCAUUUAUAACACGGUGAUGCGCAUCCUUCAAUGUCAAGUAUAUUUCUCCAAAUUCUAGGCAAGAUUCAUACUCCUCCUUAAGUCUCUCAAAUCCUGUGACUCCAACACUCAUUACAGAUAACAACGUCACCCGACGACUCAAAGCAUCUGCAGCCUUAUUCUCUAUUCCAGAUUUAUGUUUCAAAACAAAUGAGUAUGCUUGCAAAUAUUCAACCCAAUGACCAUGCCUAUUGUCGCACCCUAAAAAAAAUCAGCUCGCGGCAUCGGCUGGCGAUUUUUCUCGUUUGUUUGUCGUUGCUUGAAUUUGGUUCGUUGGAGUCGCCACCUAGUAAUUGAUUGCGGGCUACUAGGAAACCGGCUGUACUGGUCUUGUCAGAGAUUCGUGGGUACGGGACUGGUUGUGGUUAGGGAAGGUAUUAGCACCCCUAACACACCCUACCUGAGGUAAGCUGCUUCGCGAAUUUGAUGUAUUAAAGAAGUUUUAAUAAUUGUCUUUUCAUCAGAAAUUAGAAAUAUCACUUACGUAUAAGUUAAUAAUUCUUAACCAAGAUCCGAUCAAAAUAUUAAAUUCUUCUUUAAUAUAUUUGCAAUUUUAUCAUUAAAAAAUAUAUACAAAUAAAUAAAAACAAAAUACAAACACACACGUACACUUCCACUAUUUUUGUUUCUUUUCUUUUUUUCUUUUCUUUUCUUUUACAUCCAUAUUUACAAAACAAAUAGACAAUCCAAAAAAAAAUAAAAAAAAAAUACAUCAAACAAUUUAAAAUUACAAAACAGCCCCUAAAACAUCCUAAGGCUUCUAGAACAUGCAGGAACAGUGCACGAGAACAGUGCUGGGAGGCUUCUGGUGCAGAGAAUCAGUUGAUGCUUGCCAUUUGUUCUCAGUUAUACUAAGAAAGAAUGAACCGCGACUCUGUCCACCAUUCUCUCCUGUGCAUGAACAAAUCAGUGAAGGAAUAUUUGCAGUGAUAAAUAUGUUAAUGGUUUCCUGACUUCAUUAGAAUAUUUUGCUCCCAUUUUCUUUGCUCCAUGAACUGAAUAUAUAUUGCAACAUAAUUGUGGUGUUGUCAAUCACGGCAAUUAUGCACAUAAAUCCUUACUGGCGCCGCAGGUGGUUUUACUUCAUUGAAGAAUCGCAACUAUUAUGCUGCUGUUUUCUAGCGGUUAGUUUCCGUAAGCUGUCCAACAUCAUGUCAUCGAACCUCUGUAUAAUCAUUCAAUUAGAUGACACAUUUAAAAAUUUUAAAAACUAAUAAUACUAUAACUAUGAAGAACACCUAAAAUAUUUAAUUUUAUUCUUCCAAGUCUCUGCUAAACUAAUUAUACACAAUUGUGGUACUAGCAAUUGCGGCAGUUUUGUACAUAAACCCAUAUUGGCGACAUAGGUGGUUUUACUUCAUAGAAGAGUGCAUGGAGACUUGCUACUACUUUGAAUUGCAUACAUUUCAUAAGCUAUCCUCCUUCAUAAGGCCAUAGGGUCUGACGCGUGCCUUUUGUUUUUUCAUAUUUUUUAGUUUGAACUAAUAAAACCUUUACUUUUUUUCAAGCUUCAGUUAAUUUUAUUGCAGUUUCUCAAAUGAAUUCUACAAAUUCAAGAUAUAUAUGCAUCCUUAAUGCCAUAUUAAAGAGAAUAUAUAGAUAGGAAGAAGAGGAGCUUUACGUGAUAUGGAUAGCGAGAUGCUCCUAAGCCUAGAACCAGCUAAAACUUAAUAUUAUGAUGAAUAAUUCAGCAAAACUUAAUUCAAUUUCAACUUCCAUUCUCAUCAUUAGUACAAAAUGCAGAGUCAGAUUGAAAGGAAAAUGAUUGGAACUUGAAAUUCAGGUAACAAUACAUCUAGCAGAGCUUCCUCCUUACCCUCUCCCUAUUGUAUCUUCUUCGAGUGGAACUCUUAGCUUUUUGCCCUCCAAGAUAAAUGUUCUCAUCUUUCUCCAGUACUCUCUGAUAACUCAGAGAGCAGCCGCCCUGUAUAUUCCCUUUUUUUUUUAUUAUUAUUCAAAACGUUAUAGAGAAGUUCUUUUACAGAGAAACCCUUUUUAAGAUAACCAUCUAGAUAAAUAACAUUAAUCCCAUAUAUAUCAGGAUAUAUACAAUUACAAAAUAUUAAAAUAUAAUUUUUAUUUUAAAUUUUACAGCUCACGCUAACAUUAAUUCCUAAACAGUACAGCUCACGCUAACACUCUCUUUUCCAUCCAGCAUAAGCAGUCACAACUUACCUCCACGGAAAACUUUAUAGCCAACUUCAACCAAUAUUUAAAAGGAAUUUUGUCCUAUGUUUGAUAAGCAAAAUCAACAGAACCUGUCGUUGACUUUCUAGCUCAAAUUUAGCAGUAGCCAUUUUAAGGAGCAGAAACAAACACUGUACUUUUAUCAUCACGAAAAUCUGGUUGAUUUAUUAUCACGAAAAUCGAAAAUCUAGUUGAUUUAUCAUUACGAAAAUCUAGUUAAAACAAAUUAAUAUGAAAUCAAAUCGAGGAUGAAAGGUUGAUUUUGAGAUCAAGAAUAGCAUGUAUUAAAAAGAUAAUAAAUAAAAUUAGAGUAAUAACAUUGAUACAACUUAUCAUUAAAUUUCAUUUGCAAUUUCCUCUCGAUUUUCUGUAGUUCUGUAGAGACAUAGAUUAGUUGGUUCUUACGGGAAUUUUUCUUCCUUAAUUUCACUCCCAUUUCCCAAACGAUGGAAUUCAUACAACCUUUCGAUUUUAUUUCCACGUAAAAUCCAUUCUUCUCUAUCAAACAGAACAUAAUAAUGGGCCAUAUUUUAAUUUAAAUAUAUUUUUCCUAAUAUUUAAAGUUUUUUUACUGGGAAAAUAUCAUGGGGAUUUGAGAGAAAAGACAAUAGAUAAGAAAGGACAAGAAAAAAAGUGAGAGAAAAUGAUGGUGGGUCUUCAUUCUUCAGGGACCGUAUUGGAACUCUUUGGAGGCAUGCGUGAGAGGUGAAAUGGGAAAGUAUAGGGAACAAAGUGUAAUGUCAAUGAAUAUAUAGGGCUUAAAAUGCAAUUUACCCUUAAUUUUUUCGUGGAUGACGCAGUCACAAGGAGAGGAUAGAUGUCAUUUCUGAAAUGAUAAGACAGAAGUGACAAUAAGUAAAAUUUCGUAAAUCAUCAUCAAUCAAAAAUCAUGACGUGGGGACAAAUCACAUAAUUGAUUGAUUUUACAACCCUUUAAAACAAACUCAUCAAAAUAUUUAAUCCAAAUUCUGAAUAAACAACAAUAUCUAAUGUAGAUAGGUUUGAAUAAUUUGAUGAUUAUUAAUAGUCAAUUGUAGAUUUAUCACAAUUAGAUCAUAUAUAUAAAACCCAAUAAACUCAUAAUACGAACAAAUAUAACUGGGCUAACUUAAGAAAAAAAUACAUUGGUGCAAAAUGACUAGUCUAACUAAAAAAGUUUAAAUUUUAAUUUGACCUCAUGGAAAUCAUUCUCAAAUUUAAUUAGGAGAUUUUAUGGUUUCUAUUCUAUAAAGGGUGUGUGUAGGCUUGAAAGAAGUUAUGCGUGCCAAUUUCGUUAUUUUUUUAAUCUUUUUACAAUUCUAGUUUAAUUUUGGAUUUUAUAUUGUAAGAACCUAUAUCAUAUCAAGAUUAAAUUUCAGUAAAAAAAAAUAUUAGAAUUCUAGUUGUGGAGAGUUUUUUUAUAUAUAGAAUUACGUUUUUCUUUGAGCUUGUUUUUUUCUUAACCGGAUCAACUACAUCAAUCUCCUAAAAAAACGAAAAAAAAAAAAGUUGGGAAUGAAAACUUAAGUGAAAUUUAACAGUCUGCAACAACAAUCCUUUACCGUCCACCAUGAAAUGAUCAACAGGUUUUUUUUAAGGACAAUAUAAAUUCUGAAAGAGCGUAGACAUGAAUGACAGCCAAGAACCACCCAACAGCCAUGCAGGGUCUAGUCUGCAUGGCAAAGGUCCCCUCAAUCGCUGAAUCCACAUGAACACAGUCUAAUGAACUGCUAACAUGCAUUUGGUUGUGGUAAUUCAAUUAUGCGAAGGGUGUCGGUCCGAAUUCUUCAACUUAAACGAACAUGUUUGCGUAAUUAAGUGUUCAAUCACGUACUUAAUUUGCUAUUGAAAACAUUUAGAAUUUAUCAACAAUUUAAUUAAGCAGGUGUAUACAACCUCCCAACAUUUGUAGAUAUCAUUGAAUCAUUAGUUAACACCAAGUAGACUGAGAUCGGAUCAAAAUGUGUCACUUAAGCUCUUAAUAUUACAGAAAACUUACAAUUGCCCUGAUGGUUAAUUAGCACAAAAGACCGGCUUGGAGUUCAGACUAGCCAAAUUGCCCAACUCUUUAAGCCUGAAUUUUAUCACCAUCAUAAAAUGGGAAAAUUAGUUUAGAUAUACAAGGCGAAAUGGAAUUAAUUACCUAACAAUUUGAACUUCAGAUUGGUCAUGCAUGACCACUUGCAGGUCCUCCUAGUGUUAGAACCACACCUUGAAGAUCACUUCUUGGAUCUGAUUCUUUGGCUAAUGAUGGAGCAGCUCUGAUUACCGGAUAUGUUCUGGUCACUUGAGUUUGUCGAGAACUAUGACUGGAUUGUCCUGAGAAUGUUUUUGGAUGAUGAGAAGGCUUCAAGGUAUCAGUAUGAAAUUCAUUCGAAGCACCACCCAGAAACCAGUGCUCAAAAAGCCCCUUUAUAAAGAUAACUAACAGAGAAGGUCACAGACAGCAGAGGAGGUCAGCAUCACCAUCGAUUUCCUUUCUCCAGAAGCAGGGGUUUACCACCACAUCAACACCCAUCUUCCCCGAUCUCUUCAUCUCCUUUAGCACUGAAGAGAAACCGAACGGUGGAGCAGAGAACACAGACAGCAGAGGAGGUCAGCAUCACCAUCGAUUUCCUUUCUCCAGAAGCAGGGGUCUACCGCCACAUCAACACCCAUCUUCCCCGAUCUCUUCAUCUCCUUUAGCUCUGAAGCUUCCUCCAGCAGUGGCCAACACACGGCAGCCCCUACAAAACCAAAAUGAGAUAAAUCUCAAAGAGAAAGAAAGACUCGAACUUGUGUAGCAGAUCUGGACCGAGAUCCAGCCGCCAUCAGCUCUGGCGAUGCCUAACAACCAGAUGUGCUACAGGGAUGAACUCUCGGGCAACAAACAGUGAUAGACUCGAAAGAAGCCAAUCUAAAGGAGGAGAAGGAAAAAAACGCAGAUCUGUGAAAAAAAGACAAUAAUCGAAACUCAAUUAAGAAGAAAUCAUCGCACAAACAAUCUCCCGGACCGGUUGUUGAUUUGGAUCCUUUCCCAAUUGAGGAUGGAAGACUACGGGAAAGAGGAGAUUGGUUGGGGUGGGGAUUGAAGCUGUGAUUUGGGAUCGGUUCAGUUUAUCAAGCAGACUUCAAGAGGUAAGACCCUAUACAAUAACAGUAACAACAAAGAGAACUUUUCAACCCAGCCAUGGAGGGGAAAGCUCUCUCUCAAAAAGCCCAGCCACCGUUCCAGACAAACUUAAUUCCUUCUCACAAACACAAAAAAGAACUUGACCUUCCAUACAAGCCAUAUUACCCCCAGCCUCAGCUACCAUCCAUCACCUUAAACACUCAGACUUCAACAAACUACCGUGAUUUUCAACUACAAUGUUACUUUGAAAACUUCCUAAGUUGGGUCGAUUACCAUAAGCUUAAAGACUGCUUCAGAAAACAGGGGAAAGUUAUUAAGCUGUUUGUUUCUCGAAAAACAAAUCAAGCAGGAAAGCAUUUUGGCUUCGUCACCAUCCUCUCGAAUCUGUCAGACAAAACUCUGCUAGAAUGCUUAAAUGACAUAUGGUUUGAUUCCUACAAGCUGAGAGUUAAUGUGGCUAAGCACAGAAGAAAAGAUGUAGUGACGAAACAGAAAAUAAUGGGAACCGGGAAACAAAUACCCAAGCUCAACAACAAAGCCAAGGCCCCCAUCCGUGUAAGAGACAACCGAAGCUAUCUUGAGGCAGUAAGAUCAGGGAGUCAAGUGCAUCAAGCGUCUGAUAAUGCCACACCACGUCAUCAUAACUUCAUUUCUUUCAACACUACAGAUGAGGAAAUUCUAUGGUUAAGAAAUAGUCUUAUAGGCAAGAUAUCUCAGGGAGUAGAUUAUGCACAAAUCAGACAUGGAUUAAUUCAGCUAGGCAUUUGCUUCUCUGCUUUCCGUUUCCUAGGGGGAUCACAGGCAAUCAUAAGCUUUGAUGGUGAGAAAUCUAUGCAACAAGCCAUGCAGAAAGGUAUGGAAUGCUGGAGGCUCUACUUUGAUGAAGUUCACCCGUGGACUGAAGAAGAUGUGACAGAGAGUCGUCUAGCAUGGAUCUCUAUCUCUCAUUUGCCUAUCUCUGGCUGGAGUUUGAGAUGUAUCUCAAACCUUCUCAUGAACCGUGGACGGGUGAUAGGUUUUGACAAAACCAGCCUAAAAAUCUCUGAACUUCACAGUGUGAAAAUCCUUAUAGGUACUCACUUGCCGGAGAUCCACGACUCUAUAGCUCUCAUGCUAAACUCCAAGUUAGUACACAUAUAGCUGGAUGAGAUUGACCUUUUAAGAUAUCCAGAGGCAAAAGGAAUUUCAUACUCGAUGGCAGAAUUUCAAACCACAUUACUUCAGGGAGAUAGUGCUGACAGUGACUCAGAUGAUGAAGUGUACACUGAUCUUGCUUUUGACUUGGCAGGAGAUGACAACAUUUGCAGGCUAGGUAUCACUGAUAAGAAUUGUGGAUCUGAUGACAAGGGACACACGAUGGAGGUAAGGAAGCACAACCCAUAUGGGACACAUGAGGUGUACGAUCAUAGCUUUGCGUCCACAAUAAAUGCCAUUGACAACACAGAACGGCUACAUAUCGUUGUUGACGAUCUCUUUUACGAUGUGAAUUCAGCAAGCCCACUAGAGCAUCCAAGCAUGGCUUUCAAAAGAGACUCCUUCUUGCCACAACCUUAUACCCCUGUUAGCAGUGAUGAUUCUUUAGAAUCCCACUUCAAAAUCCAAAGCCUACCUCUUACAUCUAACCAACAACAGACCCCAACAGCCAAACAACCAAGACUAAAGAAAAUAUCCUCUACUAGGAGUCUCCUCUCCUUGCACUCUUCAGCAAGCAUGUCUUCUAUAGACUCUUACAUCAGGGUGAAUAAUACCCGUAACCUGAAAGAAUAUGCAGCGGAAUCGUCCCACAAUGAAGUCAACAAAAUGAUCCGUUUGGGAGAAGCUUUGGGUCUUGGUAAUUCAGCUCUCUUGGAACAAUUUUCUGGUCUUAUCAUAAGACAGCUAGAAAAGGAGAAGGAAGAUUGGCAGAAACAACAAUGAAUAGUAAGUUUUCAUCCCCUGCAGAUAGGCCUUUUAAUUCUGUCAUGAAUAUUCUUUCUUGGAAUUCCUGUGGCUUGGGCAUGAUGAGGAAACGAAGAAGAAUCACGAAAUUAAUAGCAGAAUAUAAGAUUGAUAUAUGUUUCAUGCUGGAAACUAAGCUAGCUAAUUGUUCCAUUGGUUUUGUAUCUCGUAUUUGGAAUGAAAAUCAUGUGAGUUGGUUUAGUAAUGAUGCUCAAGGAUCAAAAGGAGGUCUGCUUGCUAUGUGGAAAAACACUAACUUUGAAGUCUCUAAUAUUGAAUAUGGUCAUGGUUGGAUCGGUUUAUAUGGUAAACAUGUUCACAGUGAUUUUCAUUGCUUUGUUAUUGGCAUCUAUGCUCCUUGUAACUAUCAGGACAGACAAAAACUUUGGGAGGAUCUCAUUCUUCUGAAGCAUGCUUUUGAAGUUCCAUGGAUAAUAGCAGGAGAUUUUAAUGAAACGCUCUCUCAGAAAGACAGAAACAGUGGAAUUUGUCAUCCUGCAGGCUCAAAUUCUUUUAGCAGAUUCCUGCAGUCUUGUGAGCUCACUGAAUACCCUUUAGCAGAAGGUUAUUUUACCUGGUUUAGAGGAAGGUCCAAGAGCAAACUAGAUCGAAUGUUCGCAAGCUCAACCUACCAUCUUCACUUCCCCAGUUUAUCUCUUCGACGACUUCCAAGAGAGUUCUCAGAUCAUUGCCCUCUAAUUCUAUGUAGCUUCUUGCAAGACCAUGGAUGGCGUCCUUUUCGUUUCUUGGACUGUUGGACUCAAUACCCAAAUUUCAAGCACAUUAUUGAAAGCUUCUGGAAUGAUGCAUGCUCCCUUCACCCUGGCCGCUUUAAAUUUCUCAAAAAGCUUAAUCAUAUUGCAGUCAAAUUGAGGCAAUGGAAUAAGCUUGUAUUUGGAAAUCAAGAAGCUGGCCUUCAACGAACCCUUUCAGCUAUCAACAUACUAGAGGAAAAAUGUGAAGAAGAAGGUUUAACCGACCAAGAGCAGGAGCAUUUAGACUUUUUGUUGAAAGACCGCUGGGUUCGCAACAAUCACAUUGAAUCUAUUUGGAGGCAGAAAUCAAGACAGAUGUGGUGCAAAUUGGGUGACAGAAAUAACAAGUUUUUUCACAUGAUUGCCAAUUUCAGGAAGGCUAAAUCAUCAAUACUUAAAAUCCACCAUAAUGGCAACACUUUUGACUCUCAGCAGGGAAUUAAGCAGGCUGCUGUGGAUUAUUUCUCUGAGCUGUAUGACUCUCCCUCUGGUAAAAAGCCGCAGUUAAAUCCUUUGGGUUUCAAAUGUCUCUCUAAAGAAUCCUCUGAAUGGUUGGAGCAAGAAAUCACAAUGGAAGAAGUGAAGCGCGGUGUAUGGGGUUGUGAUGGGUCAAAAUGUCCUGGACCAGAUGGUUUCAACUUCAAAUUCUACAGAUUAGCAUGGGAUUUUAUUGCUCAAGACAUUCUCGAUAUAGUCUUAAGCUUCUUCAGAACAGGAAGGCUUCCCAAAGGAAUCAAUACAACCUACGUAACUCUCCUCUCUAAGACAGUCGAACCCAUUGAGUUUAAAGAUUUUCGGCCCAUCAGCAUGAUUCAUGGUAUUUAUAAGAUCAUUGCUAAAAUCCUUGCUUCUAGACUGAAAGUUGUUAUGCAAGAUAUCAUUAGCAUUAACCAAUCAACGUUUAUAGCAGACCGUAACAUUAUAGAUGGCUUUAUGAUUGCAAAUGAGCUGGUGAAUGAUCUAAAAAAGCAAAAAGCGGCAGGUUUGAUUUUCAAGAUUGAUUUUCAUAAAGCUUUCGACUCAGUCUCCUGGGAUUACCUAGAUGAUAUCAUGGGUUAUAUGGGGUUUGGUAGAAAAUGGAGAACCAUGAUUUAUGAAUGUCUUUCUUCAUCAAAACUCUCGGUUUUCAUCAAUGGAUCUCUUUCAAAAGAAUUCUCUGUUCGGCGAGGGCUGCGUCAAGGAGAUCCGAUUUCCCCUUUUCUGUUUGACAUAGCUGCUGAGGGCCUCUCUGUACUCUUUCAAAGGGCAUCUAGUGGGAAUAUUAUCAAAGGGCUGCAAUUUGCAUUAGGAAUUUUUGUCAGCCAUCUUCAAUAUGCAGAUGACACAUUAAUAUUCAUCCCAGCAGAUAUUGAUCAGUUAGUUCAAGUCAAAAGAAUUUUAAGAUGGUUUGCUCUGUCUUCAGGCCUUCAUAUAAACUUCCAUAAAAGAUCCAUUAUUGGUAUCAAUGUCGAUGAUCACUUGUGCUUGCGCUUGGCUACAUCUAUUUUCUGCAGAUCAGACUCCCUCCCAAGCAAAUAUCUUGGCAUGCCAUUAGGAGCCAAUCCAUCUCGUAUCUCCACAUGGAAGCCAGUGAUAGAGAAGUUUCGUAAAAGGCUUCAUAUAUGGAAGGGGAGACUACUAAGCAUGGCUGGUCGUCUAUGUCUCAUUAAAAGUGUCCUUAAUUCCCUGCCUAUAUAUUUUAUGUCUGUAUUCAAGAUGCCAAAAGGGGUAGGCAGGCUUCUUUCAUCCAUCCAAAGACGUUUCUUGUGGUGUGGAUGUACCAAGCAAAGAUCUUUCUGCAAGAUCCAAUGGAGAAUAGUGAUGCGCGAUAAGAAACAAGGAGGCCUCGGUGUAGGCUCCCUUAUAUCAAAAAACAGAGCCCUGCUUCUAAAAUGGAUUUGGAGACUCUCUUCCCCAGGUACAAGCUUAUGGAAAAUGAUUAUCUCUUCAAUGUACAAUCCAUCUUAUGAGAAUGGGAUCCCAAUUUUCUACAACCAACCAUCCAAGAUAUGGAAGGAUAUUAUGUCCAUCGUUCAAACCGACGUUCACCAAGUCUUCACGAAUCAUUGCAAAUUCAUGGUGGGGAAUGGCAAUUUAACAUCCUUUUGGCUAGACAGCUGGAUUGGUGACGACCCUCUCAAAACAGCCUUCCCAAGGCUAUAUCUUUUGUCUUCCUCUAAAACUGCUUUGGUGGCUGACAUGGGUAGAUGGAGCAAUGGAAUCUGGCUCUGGUCCCUACAAUGGCGCAGACCUCUUUUUCAUUUUGAACAAGAACAACUAUCACUUUUAUCAUCCUUGCUGGAAUCCAAGCCAAUGUUCUGCCACAAGAUGGAUAAGAAAAUCUGGACCCUCAACAACGAUGGCCUCUUCAGUGUAAAAUCUUGCUCCAAAAUGAUGGACCAGUUACUCUACGGUGGAGCCAAACCAUUCCAAUCUUCUGUUUGGAUAAAACUAACCCCACCAAAAGUGCAGCUUUUCCUUUGGCUCCUUGUCCAAGACAAAGUAACCACAAGAGAUUUCCUAUUUCAACGCGACUACCUCUCCCUUCAGGAGUCAAGAUGUGCUUUCUGCAAUAAAAGCUUGGAAUCUUCAAGUCACCUCUUCAUUCACUGCCACUUCUCUUGGAAUAUAUGGAUGAAACUGUUUUCUAAUCGGGGCUUUUGCAGUGUUUUUCCAAAAUCUGUUGAUGAUAUGUGCUACCAAUGGUCUUCUAUGGUUAAAGGCAAGCAACAAAAUCUCUCAUGGCAACUUCUUUUCUCAUGCGUUGUUUGGAAUCUUUGGCUUCAUCGAAAUGAUGUUAUUUUUAAUGACGCUGCCCCUAACCAUCAAAUCUGUUUCUCCAUGGUGCGCCAAAGUAUUGCUUUAUGGUUGAGGCUUGACUCCAACUCUUUCGAGCUUAACAUAGAGAAUGUUUAGUCGGGAGGAGUUGGUUUCUUUUGAUUUGUCUGUUCUCCUUUUGUUGUUAUCCCCUGUUUCAUGAAACAGUUUUUGUGCUUCCCUUUCCUCUGCUUGUUCUUCUGAUGUAAGUUAGGCUACUAUCUUUGUAGCUUUUUCCUUUUAAUAAAAUUUCGACUAUUAACAAAAAAAAAAAAAAAAGGUAUCAGUAUGAUUGGAGUUUGGAAAUUGAUGAACAAUGGGGAUUGGAGUUGCUGGUGAUGCAUGAUUUUGAGCUAGAAUUGCCCCUCUCGAUACGAAACCAGGUGCCUGAUAGAUAAAAUUAGGUUUCAAUACGAGUUCGAAAUAUACUGCAAAUGAGGGAAGUAAUGAGGAGCUUACAGGUGAAAACAAGACCCCUCUGAAAAUCUUCCCAUUAACAGUUGCAGUCAUUAGAAGGCCUAAGUCGAAGGCUCCGUCAACUUUACCUCGAACUUCAGCACCAACCUAUGGAGAAAGAGAAGAAAGUGAAAAGCAAGUAUUAGCAGAACAGGAAGGAAGACAGACAAAAAAAUUUGUAAUUGACAAUGUUUUGCAUUGCAUAUAUCAACUUAAUGAUUUACCAGGUUUUGAGUACACCCUGGCUCCAUGGAUCUAUGUUCCACUGCUGGGAAUGGUGUUCCUUGCCUGCCAAACCCUGCAUGAACAUAUUGUUCUACUCUUUUAUUCUCUUGAAACUUGGAGCCUGUGCCGGGUUUUUUGGAUCACAAGUCUAGGUAGUUUCUGAUUACAUGCAACACUAUCAGCCUGGUAAUUUCUUGGAAUUUUGUAUAAUUAAAUAAUCUAAUCUUAAACCACUACUCCAAUUGUUGAUAUAAAAGUUUAAAACCGAUCUAAUUAAAAGAAUUCAAAAUUAAGUGUGAAAAAUAACUAAAAUAAAAAAUUAAUUCAAAUAACAAAAACAAAAUCUUUUGCAUCUGAUUUGAGAAAAUUUAUGUGGUGGAUGACCGAGCCUGUAAAAUUAUAUGAUAAAAUUUAAGUAUAAUUUAAAAAUUAAAUUUAAAAUUAUUUUUAUCAGGUUUUAUGUCUAAUGUGUUGAAUUUGUUUAUGGAUUUCUAUUCAGGCUUAAUCAUAAACGUCUUUGUUUACACGUCAUAAUUAAAGCAUAAAAUGUCGUGUAAGCCGAUGCUUGACUUUUUUAAAAAAUAAUUUAGUUUCGGUUGACUCACAAAAUUGAGACAUCUAGCUAGUCACUCAUGGCUUUAGACGUACCUCUUGUAAAGAUAUCAACGGCUUUACGUCUACCAAGUGUCAGAAGAUUAGAGAUUGAUAUUGUUAGAAUGUUGUUAAUAUUGUUUGUUAGCUAAGAGAGUUUGUUAGUAUUGUUUCAGUGCUAAGAGAAAGAACAGAUACCGUGUAUUACCUUUCUAAUAUAGCCUAUAUAAACUGAGGAUUAGUGAUGUGAAAAUAAUGAAAGAAAAAGUAAUAAUAAAACAGUGCGAGACUUCAUCUUCUGCUUCUCUGUAACAGAAUUAUUCUAUAUUCUUCUUCCUUUCUAUUCUCUGCACUUUCUUCAUUUCUGCUCCUUUUCUGUAUAAAUUCUACCGUCUAUCAUGGUAUCAGAGCAGUAACUGGUCCGAUGGGAUGUCUUCUGAUUGUCAAGAAUUAUACUGGCGAUCGUCUAAAUUUUGGUUUGGCUGCUAAGCAAGCAAAAUCUGAAGGUUAUAAAGUAGAGACUGUAAUUGUUGGAGAUGACUGUGCUUUACCUUCACCUCGAGGCAUAGCUGGACGAAGAGGGUUGACGGGGACUAUUCUUGUUCAUAAGGUUGCUGCAGCUGCAGUUACUGUUGGCCUUUCUCUUGAUGAAGUUGCUGCAGAAGCGAAACGUGCAUCUGAAAUGGUUCUAAUAUCUUGCUAAUCUCUGUUUCUGUAGAGAGAGCAAUACGGUCUCUUAAGAUUCAUACUUCUCAACAAGCUUGCACAAAGAGUCACUAAAUUGCUUUUGGCCACUUGCCAGAGCAAGUACGAUAGUCUUCUCCAUCAAAUCCUGAAGAAGAUCAAUAUAUAACAAAGAGUCGCCGCCAAUGUAUUACCAGCAGCCAUUAAUCUCUGUUUCUGGCAUUAUUAUCUCCUUAUCUACACAAUUCUUUCAUAAUAAUCGAUAUGUCUAUCAUUUGUUUGAUAUAUUGUCAAACUGAAAAAUUCUUCUUCAAAUCUUCAACUUUCUGCAAGAUUCUUCCUUCUCAAUCUUUGAUUCUCUUCUUUUCUAUCUCUUGCACUCUAAAAAUGGCGACUACUUCUCAACUUCAGAUAGUUCAACUCUAAUAAGAGAAUAUACACAUAAACGUUUUCUUCUUCCUCUACACUACAUAAUUUCUCUCUGCUUCUCUUCAUCUCUAUUCUCUGCUUUUCUUCUCUUCAUCUAUAUUGCUUCUAUUCUCUGCUUUUCUAUUGCAGUAUCUCCCUCUAAUUCUAUUCACUUCUUUGUUCAUCUCUGUGACGAUUCUUGCUAGCUUUUCAAAAUAUUUCUUCUAUCUCCAUUGCUUCCAAUCCAGUGUUCCAUUCCAGGAUGAAACAUCUCCAGAUCGAUUAUCACUUUGUUAGGGAACGGGUUAUCAAGGGUGAUUUACUGGUCCAGCAUGUCUUCUCUACUGAUCAGUUUGCUGAUAUCCUCAUCAAAGGUCUUUCCAUUUCUUUGUUUCAGCAUCAUUGUUCCAAUCUCAUGCUUGGCUCCUCCAAGCCUGCGAUUGAGGGGGCAUGUAAAGAUAUCAACGGCUUUACGUCUACCAAGUGUCAGAAGAUUAGAGAUUGAUAUUGUUAGAAUGUUGUUAAUAUUGUUUGUUAGCUAAGAGAGUUUGUUAGUAUUGUUUCAGUGCUAAGAGAAAGAACAGAUACCGUGUAUUACCUUUCUAAUAUAGCCUAUAUAAACUGAGGAUUAGUGAUGUGAAAAUAAUGAAAGAAAAAGUAAUAAUAAAACAGUGCGAGACUUCAUCUUCUGCUUCUCUGUAACAGAAUUAUUCUAUAUUCUUCUUCCUUUCUAUUCUCUGCACUUUCUUCAUUUCUGCUCCUUUUCUGUAUAAAUUCUACCGUCUAUCACCUCUAACUUCGCUUACUAUGCUUAUUAUGCAAAGCAAUUAUUUUCAAGCUUGUGGAACGGGGUGUUCCUCCAUCUUCUUGUUUAACUGCUUUCUUCAUAAACUUGGGAAGUCAUGUGUUAUGAACAAUUGAUUUGAUCUUGUGAAAUAUAUGGCAGAAGAGAUUAGAAAAUGACUUCUAUUAUCAAUAAUUUCUUCUUCCUUGUGAAAUGAUUUCCCGAUACAGCUCUUAAUUUCAACACCUGCUUGCUCUUCUUUUCUUAGUAGACCUGGGAAGCAAAGAUUCCUAAUUAUCCACAUCAUCAAUCGCGAUCCCAUCAAAAAUGAAUUUGGUGGAAGAAAGAAAAACAAAUUGAAAGAAAAAUUAUCAAUUAAGAUUUCAUGUCGUCACAAAAAACAAUUACGAGCUUCAUAAGAUAAUUUUAGCUAGUUUGUCUUAAACUCAUUAGAACAUCCUUUAAUCUUCAACUGCUGUCAUUUGAGAUUUCAUGUUUGUGUUUUCAAUUAAGAUUACACAUCCAUUUGUCAGAAAUACGCACCAAUAUUCCUUAUUACCUAACCUUAAUCCUGUAAUUCUGAUUCUGAACUGCUCUUUACACUCCUUUUCCAUCGAUCAAUACAGAUCAAUCUUUAUUAUUUGCUCCAGGUUGCUGCUGCUGGUUACUCUGUCAUGGAUUAUUAUUUUUCAGUAGUCAGUUAUCCUAGUGCUUGCUUGGACAUGCUCAACAAUGGAGUUUCUCUAAAUGUAAUUCCCACAGUGAAAUCUUCUGUCAAAGUCAUUUCAAGCCGGAAAAGAUCAGGAAAAUGCAGUCUUGAAACAUCAAGCGAAUAGUGCCCAGCAGGAAAAAUUCGUUUCUACUAACAAAUGGAAUGUAAAGUUGAUCCAAGGAUGCUACUAACUUACAAGAAAUUAAAUCAUCAAAGAAAAAAUAUCCACUAGAAGAAGUGUUCUUUCCUUCUAUUUAAAAAGAAUUCGAAAUUUUACUAGACCCUAAUAACAUGAAGUAAAUCUGUUUUUUUUACUCUUGGCUUGUUCUCAAAAAUUUUAUUGAUAUUAAUUAAAUAACAAAGACAAUGAUGUAGCUAGUAUGAACUAUGAAAAUUGAGAACGAGAGGGAUGAUCAGGAAUGGAUUAAGAAAAAUGGGCUUGAAAGAGACCCAACAGGAGAGAAAAAUCUAAAAUAAACUCUUGAUGUCUUUCAUAACUCAAUUUUUGACUCUUUUUAUUUUAUUAUUAUUACUAUUAUUUUAUUUAUUGAAAAAUGAUAAUAAAAAAAAUAAUGAUGAAAAGAAAAUAAAAAAUGAAGAAUAAAUUAAAAUUAGGUUAAGGCAACAUGAUUGGAAGUUUUGGGGAUUAAUUAAAGUUUGGAAUUAAUUCAAUCAAGGGUUUAAUUGGAGAAUUGAUAAGUUUUGAGAUUAAUUGAGUUUGGAAUUAAUUGAAUUAAUGAAAAUCAAGGAUUUAAUUAGAGAAUUGACAAGUUGUUAGACUUAUUUGAACUUGGAAUUAAUUUAUUCAUGGACUUAAUUGAAAAACCAUCAAAGUAUAGGGCUGAUUAUGGUCAAAUUUGCAAGAAAUUAAAACCCAAGGACCAAUGUGUAAAUGGCGCUGAGAUUCAGGGGUUCAAUUACAAUUUACCCAAGGACUGGACUGCAAAAAGUCAACAUGUCUAGGAUGAAAACGCAAAAGGCCAUUAACAUCAGCACUGUUCAUCUUCUUCACCCGAAAACGCAUGCCUUUAUUGCAUUAAAAUCCAUGCAACCGCAUGGCAUUCUCUGGUUAUAAAAACCAGAGAAGGAGAACGAGCACCAGGUUAGAGAGGGGGAGAGGAGAAAAUAAACAGACUUUCAUUCCUCUGUUUCUUCUUAAGGAAACAGAGGAGGUUAAAGAAAAAAGCAACAAACAGGAGGAAAAAAGAGCAAAACCGGGGGGAAAAAGGGAGAGAAGACAGAGAGAGUGAGCGACCGAAAAGGGGAAAACAAAAGGAAAAACUGAGAGACAGGGGAGAAAAGGCAGAACCGAGGGGACUAAAGGGGGGGAAUAAAAGAAGAAAACAGAGGAGACAAAAACCGGGGAGAGGGGGAGACACAGAAUCAGUUUCAACCAUCUCUUCACCAUCUUCAACAACUCUUCAGCCUCCAGGAACCCAGACAGGAGAAGAAACCCCAUCGACUUGCUUUGGGAAGACGCAGAGUUACAGAAUAGAGAGCGGAGAAGCAUACGAAAAAAAGAGGGGGGCAAGCUUCCAUUCAACCGACAGCACCUAGCAUCUUCAUCACCAUCGUUGAUGUCCUGAGCAGAGGAAACACAGAAGGAAGACCAAGGAAAGCAGUAGACAAGAGUCACCACCAGCGUCACCACUGUUUUUGUCGCCUCCAGAAGCAGCAGCUUCAGAUCUCCAUCUUCAGUAGCCACUGCACCAGAAACAGGGCACUCCAGGAGAGAAAUACAGGGAAGAACCGGGGAAGAAAAGGAGAAAGAGAAGGAAGAAGAGAGGAAGAACAAGAGGUGGCAGCGCCGUUCGUCCAGCGCAGUGCGCCAUCGUCUCCGGCUACGCCUUGCUGCACCAGGUAAGUCUUCUCUCGUCUCUCCCCUCCUGCGUUAUAUUUCACUUGCCACUCUAGCAAGUGAAUUAUAAUUAAUUCACUACCCAACCGGGUCACUGGCUUCGGCCAGUGACCAGACCAGGAAUGUUGGGUCUACCUAGCCAUGUAGGCUGGAUCAGACCCAGCCCCACAAAAAAAAUAAAAAAAAUAAAAAAAAAAACAAAAAAAAACUAGAAAGUGUAGAAAUAAAAAUUUUACAUGUCUUAGGAAAAAUGUAUUUUUGUCAAUUUAUUCACUGAUAUUAGGAUCAGAAAUAAAAAAAAAUAUAUACUGAUUUUUUUUUAGCUAUGAAUUUCUACACCAGAGUUGGAAUUAUUCAUGGUGGAAUUUUUACCAACGCUAGAUUUGGAAUUAUUCGUGGUGGAAUUUUUAAACUCUAGAGUUGGAAUUAUUUGGGGUAGAAUUUUUACCAACACCAGAGUUGGAAUUAUUUGAAAUCGAAUAUUCACUGACACUAAAGUCAGGAAUAUUAUAAACAAAUCAUCAUAGCAUAAGCGAAUAAAUGUUUAGUAAUUUAAGACAAAACCAGCAAUGCAGUCUGCCUCAGGCAGAACAUUUAAAGGGUGAUAAUAUCUUCCCUUUUACAUAACCAAUCCCGAACCAUAGAAUCUCUGUUGACUAGUUAGGGUUUCUAGUGGCGACUCCUUAAACAAGAUUUUUUUCCCCUAAAAGAACAAGAUGCCAGAAAUCUAUUUUUUAUUCUUUUUCCAUAAUGAAGAUUAUUUUUAGAGCCGCCGGGUGCGACAAUGUUUAAAAUAGCCUAGAAGUAGGGCUUAGAUAGCUAGGGCUGAGAAAAUUGCCAAAAUAGGUAAAUACUGAUUAUUCAAUAAAUAAAUAAAAUAUUGCCUUGUUUUAAGUUUAGACUUAUGUUCUUUCAGCAAACAAAAUUAUUGUAGAACCACAUUCCACCUUGCUGGUAUGAUCCUGUGGUUCUAUCAAUUAUUUUAUUAAUUGAGAAAAUACUGUAAACUAUUACAAUUGUGAAUAAAUUCCAUAUUAUUAGGGAUAUAGUAAUCACAAGAAGCCAAGAAAUCUAAGAGCAAAACGCAACAUAAUUAAGACAUAACAAACAAAUAUGGAUACAAGCACAAGAACAAACACAAGUCACAUCAAAACAGAAAGGCUAAGCAACAAGAACCGGACACUUCGACAGAACACUUCUCACAGGCAAAUUGCUAAACAUGCAGUGAUCAACCCUUGAUUUGGAAUGCGACUGCAUCCCCAUAGAGGAUCACAACAAAUUCAGAAAGCAGCCCACACGCUGAUAAGACCCAAUCACCUUUUGAAUCUGGACAACUUGCGAAAGUUUAUAGCCAAAAAGCAGUAGCAAGUGUCAAUGCACUCUUCAAUGAAGUAAAACCACCUGCGUCGCCAAUGCGGAUUUAUGCACAGUACUGCUGCAAUUGUCAACACCACAAUUAUGUAAAACACACCAAAGCUGGCAUAGAAACUGUCCAUGUCUAUUAAUCCAUCAUCUCCAUUGGAAUUGUUAGGCACUCUCACUGAUGGUGAUUCUGUUUUGUCGCAACUGUUUUGCAAUGGAGGUCCACAAAGAAGAGGAUUCCCUUUAUAACUGCUCUCAUCAAAGGUAGCAAAUUGAUAUUUCAUCUCCGGUGUUCUUCCUGACAAAUUAUUGUACGACACGUUGAAAACUGCUAGAAAGUUCAGUUCAACGAGUUGUGCAGGAAUUCUCCCAUUCAAGUUGUUGUGAGAAAGAUCCAAGCUCUCUACGUGCUUCAGAUUGGAGAAAGAUGAAGGGAUCAAUCCCGUGAGAUUAUUUUGUGACAGAUUUAGAGCGAAUAUGUCACUUAAGUUUCCCCAUUCUGUCGGGAUUUCUCCAGUGAAUCUAUUACAAGACAGAUCCAUAGCAGACAUGUAACGAAGGAUAUCGCCCUCGUAAGUGUAGAAAUUUUUCUUUGCUGUAAGCUCUACAGCUAUUUUUACAUCAAUCUCUGGCCACAUAGUUUUGCUAUCAAUAUGAAAACCUCUGUUACCCAAUUUUCUCCCCCCUAUGGAUGCCAAUAUUUCUUUCUGGCUUCCAUCAUCUUCUGACACCGUAUCUGUGACGACCAAAGUUUUUUCACCCGAUGCCGUAAAAUUUAAAUUGCUUAAACAUAAGGGUAACGGACCAGAAAAAUUAUUUUCUGAAAGAUCCAAUAUGCUUAAUUUCCUUAACAAGCAUACCUGAACAGGAAGUUCCCCAUUGAAUUGAUUAGAUUUCAGAAGAAGAAUGCUCAAUUUCGAUAGUCUAUCAAUCCAAUUUGGAAUUGGCCCAGUUAAGUUGUUAUUGCCAAGAUCUAAUGUCACCAAAUGAGAGCUAUUAUAAAAAGCAUUUGGCAGUGGACCACUCAAUCGAUUUCUGUAUAGGUGGACAUAGCGUAAAUAUGGUGUUUGGAAGCCCAACGACAAUGACCCAGACAGAUUGUUUUCAGAAAGAUCUAAAAAUUCAAGCAAAUAACAUCUGAAAAGCUCUAUUGGAAUGGUACCUUCAAAAUGAUUUCUGGACAAGUCAAUUCCCUGCAAGAAUAUUGAAGAGUUCCCAAUUCCCUUUGGAAGCGUGCCUGACAAAAGAUUGUUACUGAUAUCAACCAACCAAAGUGAUGAUGCAAGAGAAAAGGUGCCAGAUACUUGUCCAACAAAUUUGUUUCCAUCUAGAAAGAGGUAACGCAGGUGAGUCAUGUUGAAAACAAAAGGCGGUAAUCGCCCUUUGAAAUUGUUAUUGGACAGCUUCAAAAACCACAACGAGGAGCCUCCUGUAGGCAAGUUAUGCUCAAGUAGUUCACAAGUCAUAUGAUUGUUGGAAACAUCCAAGUAUGCGAGAGAGCUCAUAUUCCCAAAAGGAGGAAUGCAACCUGUAAGGUUGUUGUUAGCCAUCAAGAAGUUCUUCAAACGUGGAAAAAUCAAACAUGUGUUUCUUGCAAUUUGACCAUGGAUGUUGUUGUCAGAAAUAUCUACUGUCCGAAGGUUGGGUGUUGGAUGUUGUGGCAACUGCAAAGGACCUGUAAUUGAGGUGUCUCUCAAAUAUAAUCGAUUUAACAUUCUAUUAUUCUCAACCAGCCAUGAUGGGAAAGGUUGUCCAAUGAAUUUGUUGUGGGAUAGAUCAACAAACAUCAAAUCAUAUUGGCUAUGGAGGAAGUUUGGAAAUCCAGCCUUGAGUGGUUUUGAAGUACAGUUUGAAGCACUGAAAAAACGAAGCUGGAACUUGGUAGCUGAAGGCUGAAAACUGGGUGCAGGUAUUAGCUCAUUGUUAUCGCAUGCAAUGAACUUGAGGUUGGAGUGGUUCAUAAAUGAACCAAAAGAUAUUGGAACUUGAAAGUAAUUAUUUGAAACUGAGAGGUAUUCAAGCUGCGUAAGAUGGGAGAGGUGACUAAAGGCAAUAUUUCCCUCCAAUUGAUUGUCAGAUAAAUCCAAGAAUUGUAGAAAUGAUAGAUUUCCAAGACAAGGAGGGAGCAAGCCCGUUAGUUUGUUUCCUGAGAGAAAUAGCUGUUCAAGAUUCGUCAGUUCACACCAGCCUGCACAUUAUAUCCAUAUGUUCAUGUCAAGGGAAUAGGAAUAUAUCAAUUAUGUACUAUUCGUUGAGAGAUCUAUUCGAAUACAAGUUUAUUAGCGAUUUAAUUUACCUUGGUGAGGCAGGGUGCCAUUUAGCAUACAGCUUUCCAGAGACAAAAUUCUGAGAGCAGGAAACGGUCCAAUAUUUAGAAGAAAACUUGCUGUCAUGGGAGAAGCUCGAUCCAGGAAUAGCUCUUCAAGUUUGGUGAAAUUCUGCGGUCCUAAAGGAUUAAGAAAGGUGCGUUCUUAAUAUCAUUUGAGUUGAGAUUGAAGGAAGCGGAAACAUAAAGGGAUUGGGUUAUUAAAAAAAAAUUAUUAUGGGAAAUUAAAAUCAUUUCCGACAUAAAUUUCUAUUUUAUUGAUCCAUAUGUAUAACCAGCUUAUAAAAGGAAAAACGGAGAAAUUUUUGUUGAUAAAAUUACUAAAUAUCGUCAUAAACGUAAUGGUUUAAUAACAUGAAAAUUCUUUUAUUCUUUCAUGGGAAAUUUUUAGAUUCAUCAUUUGACACAUAUUUUUGCUAUCCGAAGAAAGGAGCUUGAGAUUUGAGUGGUUCAUAAAUGAUUCAACUACUUAACAAAACUGGGACUUGAUUGUAAGACACAUCCACCAGUUGUAAUAGAUGACAAGUUUCUCAAACAAGUUGUGAUGAGGGACACGUAUCUACAAGUUUAAACUCAGAAAGAAGUCUGAAUGUGUCAAAUAAUCUUUUAAUUACCUUGAGCAGGUCCGGUGCCAUGGAAGUCAGCUCUGGUCAAGGAUAAAACUUUAAGAGUAGACAAGGGUCCAAUGUUCCGAAGAAAGCUUGUUGGGAGAGAAGAAUAAUCGAGGAACAUUUCUUCAAGGCUAGUCGAAUUACACAAUCCUGUGGAACAGAUAAGAUAAAUCCAUUAAUGAAAGUGAUAUAUAAAUAUCAUGUUUUAGGCUCCAAACUGUAACUGACCUUUACCAGAGUGUAUUCCUUUAAAUUUGCUCCCAGUAGCAUAUAAGCUCUUGAGGGAUGGCAACGCUCCCAAUGACUCUAUCAAAAUGCUUUCCUUGAAGUCAAUUAUUUCCAGAUACAAGAUUUCUAAAUUCCUCAAACCUGUGAUGGAGAGCACAAUUAAUAAUAAUGGCUUUUUUAUUUUUUAUUUUUUAUUUUUUCCUGAUUCCAAGUGGUACAGAUAUGUGUGUUCUACAAUUUGUUUUAUUUAUGUGUUGUCAUCUGGAAUAAUUUGGAGCACUAUCGUAGAAUGAGCAGGGGUGCAUGCAGAGUAAUUGAUCUAGCAGUUUCCGGCUGCUGUGUUCUACAAAUUUUUGUUCUUGACUUUUUGUUUGCUCUAUCUAGUUGGAAGUUUUAGCUCAAAAUUGUUGAUAUAAAUAAUUUCUAAUGUUAAAGAUUAAUAUAUAAUUAUUAUUAGAAACUUACCCAACAAUUUAAGUCUUUGAAUUAAAUUAAUUUUAAUAUGAUAUUAGAAUUUUAAUAACCAAAUGUUUAUGAAUUUAAAUCAUCUCACCUCCAUUCCUUUAAUAUUUUUUAAAAAAUAAUCAGCACUAGCGAAAGGUAUACCAUGUAAGAAUCCAUAACUAUUUCACUUGAAAAAAUAUGUUAAAGGAAUUAAUUAUAUAAAAGCAUUUAUAGGGCUUCAUUCAUCUGCUUGAUGAUUAAUGCACAGCUAAUUAUUAAAAAAGUUAACAAAAUAAUAAAUUAAGCCUCUCUAAGGAAUGUCAUCGAGGUAGGAAUGAUUUACCAUUGAGACCAAUUGAUCCUGUAAACUUAUUUUUUGAUAGAUGUAGAGAUUUGAGAGUUGAAAAACCACCGAGAGAUGAUAAAAUACUAUCGUUAAAUUUAUUGUCACUCAGUUCAAGUUCCUGCAAUUCCCUCAACCCUGAUGCUAGCUCGUGAAAACCUAUAAGAAAAUUGUCAAAAGCAAAAAAAUUAACAAAUAUAUAUAUUUCAACCAUCCAUUAUCCAUAAAAGUUCAAUGAAAUAUAAAUUUAUGUAUUAAUUUUUUAUAUACCAAUUGUUCCUGUGAACCUAUUGUUUGAUAGAUGUAGAGAUUUGAGAGUUGAAAAACCACCGAGAGAUGAUAAAAUGUUGUCGUUAAAUUUAUUGUCACUCAGAUCAAGUUCUUCCAACUUUCUCAACCCUGAAGCUAGUACUUGAAAACCUGAAAGAAAAUUGUCAGAAUAAAAAAGAUUACACCUGAAAUUUAUUUUUCAUUGAACUUUUUUGGAUAUUGGGAUAUUGUAUGAUAUAUAUACCCCAAUAUCCAUAAAAGUUAAAUGUAAAGUUACUUGAAAUAUAACUUGAAGUGUUAACUAAAAACAAUUGAACCUUGAUUCUCUAAGACACCAUCUAAUCGGUUGUCGCUUAAGUGGAGAAUCUCCAAUUCUUUGAAAGGCAGAAACAAAGAUGCAUUGAGAUCCAAGUCUUCGAAUGGAAAAGAACUUACACCUGAAAGAUGAAGUUCGAUCACUCGGUUUGUGGUGCUGUCGCACACAACCCUACCCCAGUUACAGCAAUUAAAAUGCUCUUUAUCCCAACCUUUUGAUAGAGGUAGUAUAGAUAACCCAGCAGUUGCAUGACUGAACCAAGCUUUUAUCUCUAAGAGACUAAUUCUCUCUUCCUCUAAACAACAAUGGCACCGCUCGUUGACGAAGGCCAGUGCCAUGAGCAGCAUCCACACCCACAUUUGCCUCAUCUUCAUAUUGACUCUCCUACUUGACAAAAUACAAUAGCAAUCAAGUUGUCUCUUAUAUACAAUUUUGUCCUCUUCAUGCAUUUGAUCGGACAGUGACAGUUAUCUGUAUCAUUGAAUUAAUUAUCCAAGGUAGACUUGGGCUUAAUUGAAUGGGAGAGUCUUCACGGACAGUGCUAGCCGUGGGCCCGCACCACGGCACAGAUCAACGUGGUUGUUGAUAUAUAUUUUUUUGUUAUACUAUCUUAUUAUUUAAUUCUUUUUUGUUUUUAUGUUUUAUGUUUCCCUGAUCUACUAUUGCAUUUAGUACCUUAACAAUAUGCAUUCAUUGCCAUCUAGAAUUUCAUUCAAUAGAGCGAUUAAUCAAGAAACUUAUUAUUGACUUUCAUUUAAAUUAGAAUACAUGAAUAAUUUAUGAGUUUGAAAAAUGUUAUCCAUCCAUAUUAAUUACACAAAUUUUAAAAUAAAUUGCAAUUAAGUUUUUCCAAACAAAUAUCAUUACAUAAGGAAUACGUACGUACUCAAGACAUAGGAAGCCAAGUUUCCAAGAUAAUCCAUUAUUCAAUUUUGUGAAUGAUGAAACUUUUCAAGAUAAUCCUUAUAUAAUAAGGUUUGAUCAAUUUUUUCGAGAUUGUGUUAUCAUAAAUCACAUAUCGUUUAAGUUUCCAGCUUAUAAUAAUAAUUUACACGAAUUAUUGGUGAGAAAUCUCCAAAAUCAUUUUAAAAAAGACAAAUCUAUAUGUCUUAUAGUGCUAUCUCUUUUUUUGUGUUUUCAAAUGUUUUUGUAUUAUGUGUACAUUAUAUCAUCUCUCAUACACAAAAUAUGAGACAUAAUAUUUUAUUUUUAGGAAAAAUCUAAUAAUCCCAUAAAUGAUCAAAUAUCAAUUUGCUUUCCCUAAAUAAUAUCACAUAUAUUAUUUCAAAAUAGUUUUAGAAAUUUGUUCAAUCAAGUCUGUACUUAAUUUUUCUAGGUUUAUAAUUGUAAUCACGUGUAUCAACUUCACUUUAGUUCUUAAUUUCUAAAACUUAAUUACAAUCAAGUCACAUUUAAUUAAUCAUCUCAUUUUAAUUUUUGAUCAAUGAUUUUUAAUGUGUGUGGCCAAUUGAGUUCUUAACAAGUUGGCUCAAAUAUAAAUAACAAUCAUAAAUAAAAUACAAUUAAACAAUUUAACAAUUUAACUUAUCAUUAAUUUAACAAAUUAAUUAAUUAAUAUUUGAAAAUCAAGUGCAAUAUUUAAUAACAUGUCAUAACCCUCUAAAUAUUAAAAAGGUCAUACAUGUUUUGACUUAACUUUUUAUUGACUAGUUUCUCAAAGUAAUUAUUAUCCCUUUAUUAAGAAUAUUUUAAUUUAGAUAUUAGAGCACAAAGUAUAUAUGUUCUAUCAAAUCAAAUUUAUUAUCAACAUCAUAGUCAUAGAUUAUUUGAAUAAGAUUUGAAACUCUUUACAAAUCUUAUUACACCUUGCACAAUGAUUUCAUAGUCAAUACUAUUUGUCGCACGUGUAUGGCAUCGCGGCGAUCGUCCACCCUCAAGGAAAAAUGUAAUGGACUAUCUGGUAAAUGUGGAGAGACAAGGAAUUCUUGUCACUUAUCAAUGGAAAAUUUAAAUAGGAGUCGCCACCUAGUAUUCUAGUCACUAGGAACCCUAACUGGUCUUAGAGAUCGGAUACGGAGACUGGUUGCGUAAAGGGAAUGUAUUAGCACCCCAAAUACUCCCUACCUAAGGUAAGCUGCAUUGUUUUGUCUAAUAAAAUCUAAAGUCUUGUUGUGGUUUCUAAUUGUCGGUCCGUUUACAGUUUAAGAAAAGUCCUCUGUAAGGAGAUCCUUAUCUUAUCAGGUAAAACCUAAUUAUUUUAAGUUGUCAAAAGAAAAUACCUUUUUAAUAUCGGGAAUACAUUUUACGUAUAAAUUCAUAAUCUUUGAUACUAAAAUCAAACAAAAUAAAAAUUUUUUUUGUUUUUGAAAUUUUGGUCAAUGUUCUCUUCACUUUAAUAAACUGGUUAUUAAAGCCACAAUGCAUGCUAAAUUUUUUUUUUUUCUGGUGUAUGAAAAACACAAUAUGAUUUUUUUAGCUUUUGAGACACUUGUCCAUAUACACAAAAAGAUUUUUUCUUUUUCUCAAUUUUUUUUGUAUUUUGGAAGUUUUAACAAAAAUCGGGUAUUUUAAUAUCGAAUUUGUAUGUUUACGACGCAAAAUACUGACCGAUAUUAAGCAAAACAAAAGACAUAAAUCAAAAGGAGGAAAUCAGAAAAUAUUAAAAAUAUUUUUUUAAAAUGGGCCGGACCCAGCCCAGAUCAAUGGGCUGGGCCGGACCCAGCCCAGAUCAAUGGGCUGGGCCAGACCCGACCCAAAAAACUAAUGGGCUGGUUACUGUGUAUAAGCACAGUAACCAGCCCUUCACUCUUUCCUGCAGAACGUGAAUUAUUCAUGUUUUGCAUGCAAAUACAGGCAGGGACAAGAAGAGGAAAAUGAAUGAGGCAGCAGGAGGUUACCUAGGGUGGCGUCGAGGCGGUGUUGCUGGCAGCGGCAGUGCUACUAUCGUAGUGGUAGUGUUGGUGGCCGGCGGUGCUUCUCCUUUUUCUUCCUCUCCCUCCUUUGUUUUUUUUUUAUUAUUAUUUCUUUUUCUUUCCUUUUCUCCUCCUCUUUUCUGCUAUGUCUUGUCUCAUCUCUUCUCUUCUCUCUUAUGUUCCUCUAUUUUAUUUUUUUCUUCCCUCCCCUCUGUUUUUUGUUCUUUUUUCGGGUCUGUUUUUCUUCUUCUCUUUCUCUCUUCUUCCUUCUUUUUCUCUGCUCUUUUCAGUCCUCUUGCCUAUCUGCUCUCUUGUCUCUCUUUCUCUCUCUCAGUUUCCCCACCUUUCAUCAUGCUCUCCCCCUCUGUAUUUAUAGGUGAAAACAAAGGGGGGGGGGAGAGGUCGAGGUGGCCACUGUGUUGCCACCCCAAACCGCCCAAGGGGUACGUCCCCUCCAUUCUUCCACCACGUGGCAAGCAAAUGGGUUGUAUCGGCAUCUUUUUUAGCUUUAAGAGAGAGAGGGAGCUAGUGAAAACAGGGGAAUAAAACCUUCUUCUUCCCCUAAUUUCUACACAUCGAAGGGAAGAAAGGUUGUAUCGUUCAAAAAGGCACCAUUUUGGGCUUUCUCUCUUUCUUUGUUUUUAUGAACAGUAUAUGAAACGACGCUGUUUUGGUCAAAAUGCGUCAUUUUAUUUAAAUGGAUUUUGGUGCCAAAACGUGUCAAAUUCAAAAUCAGGCCUUCAAUUUGCAUGUGUUUUACAAUUUAGUCCUUGGUCUCGGAUUUCUUCAAUUAAGUCCCUAAUUGGCCAUCAAACUUCAAUAUUUAUGCAAUUAAGCCCCUAAUUUGACCAAAUUAAAUCUUAAAAAUUAUAUUUUGACCCCAAAACUUUAAUUUAUUUCAAUCAAGCCAAAUUAACUCCAAAAUUAAUUUUUCUUGCAAUCAAAACCUCCAUAAAUUCAAUUAAACCUUUAAGAAAAUUUAAUUGAGUCCAUAAACCUCUGAUUUUGGUCUUUUCUUUCUCAAAUUAAAUUUUCUUUGUCAACAGGGCUAUCAUCAGUCAACAAAAUAUUGUCAAAUUUUAAUUUUUGUAUUUUUAAACCUUCUCAACCAAUUUUUAACCCUUUUUUAGUGUUGCUGAAGACUGUGAAGAUGAUGGUCAACGCCGGUUCUCGUCUCUACGCUUUCAUCCGAUGGGCUGAGUUUGCGUCUCCUUUGCUCCUGGUUUGAGAUUCUGUCAACUUCAGUUCUGAGAUGAAGGGACAAAGAAGAUGGUGGGGCUGCUCCUUGUCUUUGCGUCGUUUCUCUGCUUUUAUUUUUCUCAGUUUUUUCGUUCCUCGGUUCUGCUUCCCCCCUCCUCUUCUUUCAUUCCCUGGCUUCUUAUAGAGCCAGAGAACGUGGUAAUCAGGGUGAGCCACGUUCCCACGAUAUGCAGUUACAGAUGUCCUGCUGAAACGGUCUUGAGCGACGAAGAAGGUGGAGCGUUUGAACUGGAAAUGGCAACUUUCGUUUUGGACCUUGAAUUUUAGAAAGUUUUGUAAUUAAGUCCCUAGUUAAAUUGUAAUUGGACCCCUGCAGUUUGGCAUCUUUUACAAGUUAGUCCUUGGAUUUUAAUCUGUUUGCAAUUGUGCCCCCAAUUAACCCCAAACUUUGCUAUUUUUCCAAUUAAGUCCUUGAUUUCAUUAAUUAAAUUAAAUCCAAGUCCAAUUAAGUCUUAAACUUAUCAACUCUCCAAUUAAACCCUUUGAUUUGAUAAAGUAAAUUAAUUCCAAACUCAAUUAAGUCUCAAAACUUAUUAAUUCUCCAAUUAAACCCUUGAUUUAAAUAAUUAAACUAGUCAAGAAUUUAAUUAAAUCUUUAAACUUCCAAUCAUGUUGCUCCUAACCCAAAUUUUAAUUCAUUCUUUAUUUAUUAAAAUUUUUACUUGUUUUUCAUUUUAGUAAAUAAAAUAAUUAAAAUAAAAGGUAAAAAAUUGGGUUAUGAUAAUUAUUUUUAUCAGAUUUUAUAUAUGAUGCAUCAAGUUUUUUAAUGUUAAUUGAAAAAAAAAUUAGGAUUACAUCCUAGUCGUAGAUAUGAUUAUUAUUCAUUUAAUGUUAAUAGAAACAUAUAUAUAUAUAUAUAUAUAUAUAUAUAGCAAAAGCAAAAGGUUUGAAUUGGUGGUUAAAAACAAAUAUUUUUUUAUUUUGCGGUUCCACCAGAUGCACCAAGUAAAUUAUUGUGAGGGUGCUCCCCUUCAGUAAAACUUUUUUUAAAAAUAAUUUAGUUUCGGUUGACUCACAAAAUUGAGACAUCUAGCUCAUGACUCAUGGCUUUGGCUUUAGACGUAGCUGUAACUUCGCUUACUAUGCUUAUUAUGCAAAGCAAUUAUUUUCAAGCUUCUGGAACGGGGCGUUCCUGCAUCUUCUUUUAUGGCAGAAGAGAUUAGAAAAUGACUUCUAUUGUCAAUAAUUUCUUCUUCCUUGUGAAAUGAUUUCCCGAUACAGCUCUUAAUUUCAACACCUGCUUGCUCUUCUUCUUUUCUUAGUAGACCUGGGAAGUCAAGUUUCCUAAUUAUCCACAUCAUCAAUCUCGAUCCCAUCAAAAAUGAAUUUGGUGGAAGAAAGAAAAAAAAUAAAAAAAUAUCAAUUAUUUUCAAGCUUGUGGAACGGGGUGUUCUUCCAUUUUCUUGUUUUAACUGUUUUCUUCGUAGACUUGGGAAGUCAUGUGUUAUGAACAAUUGAUUUGAUCUUGAAAAUGACUUCUUUCAAUAAUUUCUUCUUCCUUGUGAAAUAAUUUCCCGAUACAGCUCUUAAUUUCAACACCUGCUUGCUCUUCUUUUCUUAGGAGACCUGGGAAGUCAAGAUUCCAAAAUAUCCACAUCAUCAAUCUCGACCCCAUCAACAAUAGUGCCCAGCAGGAAAAAUUAGUUUCUGACGGUGAGAUGAUGCCAAAAUUGUAGUCAAAGAGACUUGGAACUCCCUGAUGAUGGUCUCUAGCUCUGGAGGUUUAUUCUGCCAAAAUUGCAUGGGCCGUUUUACAGCCUUCGUAAUGGGCUUGGCUACUUUGGGUAAUUAAAAAAACCCAAAUCGAUAAUGUUUUUUUUUUUUUCCUUUGGUAUCCGUUUAAUCAAUCUUCUGGUUUGAUCCUUGAUAGUGCUGUGUUUUGAUGCUUGUCGAUUAGCCACAAUAAUGUUAAAUUUACAAGGACAGAUCCAAGAAAAGCAAUGCAGGCCUGUAUUGGUCUCUGGGAGUCCCCUGAUAAAGGCUGCAAUCAUUGCUUGAACCCUUGUAAAGGGGCCUUUACACAUGAGGUCCACUGAAGAAGUACAACACCGUUUUUUUAUUUAAUUCUUAUGGUUUAAAUCUACUAAUAACUUAGUCAUUUUGCAUGCUAUUUUUCCACUUGUUUUGUAAAAUAGAGAAAAGAACAAAGUAAAUCUUUUUUUUUAGUUUAUGGCAUGUUCUCAAAAGUUUUAUUGAUAUUAAUUAAAUAAAAAAGACAUUGAUAUAGCUGAAAAUUGAGAACGAGAGGGAUGAUCAGGAAUGGAUUAAGCAAAAUGGGCUUGAAAAAGACCCAACAGCAGAGAAAAAUCUGAAAUAAACUCUUGAUGUUCAAAAUAGCCCACAAGCAAGGAAAAUUACCAAAAUAGGUAAAUACUGAUUAUUCAAUAAAUAAAGAAACUUCCUAGAAUAAGUGUGACAUCCUUUAAUGUUUUUACCUUUUAGAACAGUUUAUCCAGGUCGAUUCCACUUUGCUUCAACCGACCACAAUGAUCCCAUAUCCAUCUAUACAAAAAUCAAUUAAGCGGUCCAUUGACACAUUAACUUCUCUGGCUCCAUUCCGUCCUGGAUUAGCAAUCUUUCAACAUUGAGUGUUCUUCUUCUAAAAGCUACCUGAUCUUGUCAACCUAUGACAGAUCUAAAGACUUGAGAGCGGAAAGCCCAUUAAAACAUGAUAAAAUGCUUUUAUCAUUAUUAAAUCGGUUCCCACUUAGGUCAAGUACCUCCAGUUUUGAUGGUAGGACUUCGAAGCCUGGAAGAGAAACAUCAAAGCAAGAUAAUUGACAUUAAACACCGACCUUGAUUCUCAAAAUAAUAUAAAUUUAUUCUAUGAUUAUAAGAACAGAAAGAUUGAACCGACCAUGAUUCUCAAAGCAACCAACUAAUCCAUUACCGAUCAAAUCAAGACUUUGCAAUUCGUUAAAAGGCAGAAACAAAGAUGCGUUGAGAACCCAAUCCCCCAAACUCUCAUCCCUUGCACCAAUAAGAGAGAGUCGGAUCACUCGCCUUUGAGUGUUAUCACACUUGAUCCCAUACCACUCACAACAAUUACUACUGUACUCCGCCCAAUCUCUCAUGUAAAUGCUGUUUGGAUUGAUCAAAGGUUUGAUCUCCAUGAGACCAAUUCUCUCUUCCUCCAAACACCCAUAAGAACGACCACACCAUUUCGCCAUCCAAAGUCAAUAAUGUGACCAAAAUCCAAACCCACAAUAUCUUUUUCACCACCAUCUUAUAUUGUUCUAUAAACCACUACGUAGAAUUUUGUUGUUUGUUAUGUGAGUUUGGGCAACCCACAUUUGGUCCCAUUUAAAACACACUUUGGCCAUUUCCAUGAUUUUAUCUGCGUAUCCUGUGCAGGUUCCAUGAUUUUAUCGGGGAGUCAAUUUAAGUUAUUUUCCUGCCACUUUCUCAGCAGUUAUUCUCGUAGAGUCCUAUUUUGUGUUAAACGUUGGGUGCGUAUAAAGUAGUCAAAAGUAGGAUAUCCCGCUUUCUCCAUUGCUGUUCUGCAACAAUAUUUUGGUAGCCUUAUAGCACUCACUACUGGAGAAAUUGAGCUAAAGCAUAAAAUGUCAUGUACGCGGAUGCUUGACUUGCGGUGUGCCAUCUUGACUCUUAAACACCACCGAGCAGUAAUUUCAUGGUGAUUUCCUUAUUAAUACUGGUGGUCUUCCAGAAUCUUUAUCCAAACAACCCUUGCUAGACCGGGAUCGGGGUUGAUCAGGGAUAAGACUCGUGUCAUGACUUUUGAUGAGAUCACUAGGGCUCUGUUUGUUUGCAGGAAAGUGAAUUCCUUUUGGAAAGUGAAUUCCGGGGAAAGUGAAUUCCUGGAAAGUGAAUUCCGGGAAAGUAUUUUCCGAUGUUUGGUAGUGUUAUGGAAAAUGAACUGGAAAACACUUUCCAGUGUUUGGUUGUAUUAUGGAAAAUGAACUGGAAAAUAAUUUAUUAAUGAAUUAAUUUUUUUUUUAAAUUUAUCUAAUAUAUAUAUAAAAUAUCUAAUAUAAAAUAUUUAAUCACUUACAAUAAAAAAAAAUGAAAUCUAAAAUGUAUAAUGAUGAAUUUUUUUUAUUAUAUUCUAUAUUCAUACAUAGCUUAUUUUAUAAAAUAUAACUAUAUAUAUCAUAUCAUAUUAUAGAGAAAUAAGCUUGUGAAAUGUUUUUUACUAUUCCAUGAAACUAUUUAUAAUUCCAUUACGUACGAAAUAUAUCUGACAAAAAUUAUAGUUUUAAUAAUAUUUUUAGCAUGUAACAAAAUUGGAUAAAAUAUUAAGGUUUAAAAUUUACUCUAAACUAUUUUUUUUUAAUGUUAAAAAAAAUAGCACACUUAAAAAAAAAAAAAAAAGAAUCCUACAGGCAAGUGAACAGUGCAAGAGAACUGCACUGUUCACUAUUUUUCCAGUAAACAGUGUACGCAAUACACUGUUCAUGUUAAUUGCACUAUUCAUUGAACAGUGCAAUUAACAUGAACAGUUAAGAAAAAAUGGCUGCUUUUCACCGCUGGCCACUGUCGGAAAGUGUUUUCCUUUCUUUAACAAAAGAAAACACUUUCCUUUGGCAACACUGAUUUAUUUUCCAUUGACUGAAUUCAUUUUCCAUUGACUUUUUUUCUUGUUGUUGCCAAACACUGGAAAAGCAGGAAAGUGAAUUCCAGGAAUUCACUUUCCUGCAAUCAAACACGGCCUAGAUUAACUUUCAUUUUUUGCUAAUUUGGUUGAAGAAAGAAAUAUUUAGCCUGAUUUACUUCCAUAUUCAUUUUCUUUUUAAUACAUACAUGCUUGUAACAAGACAGGAUAAAAGCCAUGUAAACAAGGUAAUUAAAAAAUGUCUUCCGGCAAGUUUGUUUGUUUUUCCCCUUUAUUAUGAUAUAUAUACACGAAAGAAGAAAAUGCAUUGAUUAAAAUGCAUAGACCACCGUGUGGGCCAAUAAAAUGAAAACAAAAGACAAUAUCAAUGGUUUGCAAAAAAAGAAAAAAGAAAGUUUUCUGUUAAAUUUAUCUUUAUGUUAAUUACUUGAUUAACUAAACUUAAUCAUGUAAUAUUGAAUUAUUUGAUGAAAAACUUAUUUAAAACAGUAUUAAUUGACAUAUUUUAAAGUAAAAUAAAAAACAAACCCCGCUUACUUGCUUAUUUUUAAUGUGAAAAAUUAUUUUUUAACAUAAAUUCUUUAACAUAUUAACAUAAAAAAGUUCAAUAUAAUUAAAAUAAAUUGUGAUUAACAUGCUUUCUGAACCAAGCUUUUAUAUCUAAGAGACUAAUUCUCUCUUCCUCCAAACCACAAUGGCAAAUUGUGCCAUGAGCAGCCCUUUUGUCUUCUGGGCUGGAACAUCAGCCCAGCCCACGCGGAUGGGCUGAGUCCAGCCUUGUAGCUGGACCAAUACAGGCCCAGCCCACAUGAUUGGGUCGGGUCUGGCCCAGUUCAAUUUAAUGUUGGAACAUCAGCCCAGCCCAUGUGGGUGGGCUGAGUCCAGCCUUGUAGCUGGGUUAAUACAGGCCCAGCCCCCACAAUCAGCCCAGUUCAUUUCUUUUUUAAAAAAAAAAAAAAAAUUAUUUUCAAAGAAAUUGCAAUUUCCCCGUGUAUUUAUUUUACGUCAUUUUGAUUAAUAUUGGUCUGUAUUUUUAUAUCAUAAAGAUAUAAAUUCGGUAUUAAAAUAACCGGUUUUCAAAAAAAAAUAUUUUUGUUUUCAUACAUACGGCCUAGUUUCUCAAGGCUAAAAAUAAAUAAAAUCAUAUUGUAUCUUCAUACAACAAAGAAAACUUCAAUAUAUAUAUAUAUAUAUAUAUAUAUAUAUAUAUAUAUAUAUAUAUAUAUGUGAACAUGUGUUUUGGCUUUAAUAACCAGUUUAUUAAAGUUACGAGAACUCGGCCAAUAUUUCAAAAAAAUCAAAAAAUAUAUUUUGUUUUGUUUUAUUGUCUGGGAUUAUGAAUUUAUAUAUAAAACGUAUUCCUAAUAUUAAAAUGGUAGUUCUUUUAUAGACAUUAGAACAGUUAUGUUUUACCCCCAUAAGAUAAAAACCUCUUUACUGAGAAUGACUUUUCUUGAACCAUAGACGGACCAACAUGAUAAGACCUUAUAUUUUUUAUCAGACAGUGAAACAAUGCAACUUACCUCAGAUAGAGCGUAUUUGGGGUGUUAAUACCUUCUCUUUACGCAACCAGUCUCCGUAUCCAAUCUUUGAGACCAGUUAGGGUUUCUAGUGACUAGAAUACUAGGUGGCGACUCUCCUUCUAUUUUUUCACUGCUAAGACACAAAAAAUUCCUUGUCUCCCCAUUUUUGCUGGAAUAGAUACAAUUGCACCUAAUGAGGAGAAGUGGUGGGCGAUCAUCGCGACGCCGUACACAUGCAACACAUGUAAAACGGUUUCUAUAUAUAUAAAAGGAAGAAAGAAGAAAAUGCAUUAAAUAAAACAUGGAUAUCUUUGAAUGAAGAAAUUUAGGACACCGCUGACGUAUAUAGACAAAGUAUGCCAAGAACGAGGGGGGGCAAAAACAUUAUCAAUGGCUUGAAAGAACAAGACAAAAUAAAAUCAUUAGUUUUGAGCUUCAGAAGACAAUUUUAGCCAUUUAAUUUUGUCUUCAACUCGUUACAAAAAGCCUUGUCAUUUGAGAUUUCAUGCUUGUAAUGUUUCUGUUUUCAAUUAGUAUUACGCUUCCAUCUGUCAGAAUACUGUUGAACUUGACAAGAACUUUGAGCAAAUUCCAAUUUGAUUUUUGUAGCGAAUUAUAUCACUUAAUUGUUUGCUUAGGCUUAUUUUUAAUGUUCAAUGAAGUUUCACCAAUCAGUCAUCAAAUUCUGUAAAUGUUGCAGAUGAUUGCUAGGAAUAAAUCACAGUCAUUAAAUUUCUUCAUUUUGGUCCUUAAAUUUGUUUGCUAUGCUGUAGUUCUUUAUUUUUCGUGGAUAAAUUAUUUGGUACAGAGUUCUAAUUAAUAGCCAAAAAAGAAAAUAGCUCUGAAGAUAUCAGAACAACUGAAAAGAGAAGCAAAUAAUUGAUAAGGUGGGAGAAAAGAAUAGCAAAAUGCAUAGGCAAAUUUCUACAGUAUCAACUGACAAUGUGGAAGAAGAGAAUAUCAACCUGAUAGAUCAUAUAUGCGAGGCUUAUGUGGUUUACGAACACCUGAUUUGCAGAAGCUGGGGAUAAUGUUGAAACUCAAAUACACUCCUAUACAAUGAAAGGUUUUCUUGAAAACUAUCAUAAUUAAAGCAUAAAUUCAAUGAAAACUAAAUUUGCUGGAGGGGUUUCACAGAUUUUGACCAGAUUGAAUUUCACGAGGCGUCUAGCGUGAAUGAAUUAGGGUUUUCUUCUAGCCUUGAAAUUAUAGAGGAAUAGAGAAAAACAAAAACUCAUAUUUUUCUGAAAAGUCUAUAAUUCAAUAAUCUAAUCUUAAAACAAUACUUCAAUUGUUGAAAUAAAAGUUUUAAACCGAUCUAAUUAAAAGAAUUUAAGAUUAAGUGUGAAAAAUAUAAAAAAUACAAAAUUAUUUAGGAAAAUAAUUAAAAUAGCAAAAAUAGAAUCUUUUGACCUAACUUUGAAAAGAUCCUGUGGUGAUGGAGUCUAUAAAAUUAUCUAAUAAAAUUUAAGUAUAAUAUAAUAAUUAAAAUUAUAAUUAUAAUUAAAGCAUAAAAUGUCGUGUACGCCGAUGCUUGACUUGCGGUUUUCCAUUUUGAUUUUUAAAUACCAGAAAACGGUAAUUUCCUUAUAGAAACUGGUGGUCUCCUCGCGACCUUUUUUCUCAAAUAACUGUUGUUAGAGCAUGAUUGAAGUUAGGAUUUAACCCGUGUCAGAAACUUAAUGACUCUCCUCACUAACAGUAAUUUAUUAAAUAUUUUUAAUAUACUUAGUUCAUGUGAGGUUGUGUUUUCAAAAUCUUCCGAGAAAAAAGGACUAAAUGAUGACACACACGACAUUAAUGCAAAAAUAAAAGAUAGCACUACUGGCCAAAUUAAAUUUCACGAGAUGUAUAAAUUCAAACUAGGAUUUUCCAGCCUUUAAUACUCUAUGGAGAAAAAAACUCUAAUAUUUUUAUAAAAAGCUUAUAAUUUAAUAAUCCAAUCUUAAAACAAUAUUUCAAUUGUUGAUAUAAAAAAUUAAAACUGAUCUAAGAAAACUAAGUGGAAAAAAUAAUAAAAUAUAUUAUUUUCAGAAUAUAUUAACAAUUUAUUUCUUGAACAUGAAUACCAAGAAUAGACAGAGAGACACAGAGGAAUCAUUCACAUUUGCACUUGAAAGAAGCCAACUGUAUGCAAAGAGGGCCAAGAAGAACAAAUGAAUUAGUUUGCUGAAACAGACAAUACAAACAAAAGGAGAAGAAUGAGAAAUCAGAUGGGCAGUGUGAUGGUAUUUUCAGAACUAUGGUUGUGCCUUUUGGAAGAGAAUGUGCUUCUUCUCUGACCAUUGUGUACAAUUAUGGUCGUUGUUUCAUCAAAAUCAGAGGGCUGAUUCUGCCUUCUCCUUUACAGCUUCCAAAAGAAAAGGUGAGAAUGGGCUAUUCUUGCUUUUGAUAUUUGAAAUCAUAACAUGCUCCACUGAUUGACUUUUGGUGUAACAUUUUGAUCCUUAAACUUCACUUGGCCGUAAUUUCCUGAUGAUUUCUUUAUGGGAAACAGGUUGUCUUCUCGCAAUCCUUUUCCAAACAACCCCUGUUAGAGCAUCAUUAAAGUUUUGAUUUGUACCAUCAUCAAAAAAUGACUGUCAUCAUCAUCACAACGUACUUCCAUUUCAAUUAAUUCUUUAUAUUAUAACGCAGCAGAACAUAAAAUAAUGGGUGAAGAUAUUUUAGCUGAUAAUGGGUGAAGGGAUAUUUUUUUUCUAAUUGAAAACGACUUGUCAGCUUUAGAAAAUGCAUGCAGGGCCCAGUUUAAUUUCAAUUUCUCAUACUCUCGUUAAUGCAAGUUUGGACAGCUUGGGGAUGUGUCGUCCAUCCGGUUUCCUUUUUUGAUCGGGAGUCAAUGGGAUUAGUAAUUGACACUUCAUCAUCAAAUCAAAAUUAAAAAUGUUAAUGAACUCACAAUUAAUUGCCAUUAAGCUCCAUUGAGUGUAAACAAUGAAUUUAUAAAAUAGUCAAAAGUGGGAUGUCGUGAUUUCAACAAUGCCGUUUCAGAAAAUUGAUAGUCAUGAUGAAAAGAAGAAGACAGAAUUGUUGAGUUGAAACGUGAACGUCGUGUUCUCCUGAUCAAUUGUAUAGUGAAGAUGGUGGAACUGAUGCGGGUGCAUAGCACCAACCAUUACUUCCCUAAUGAUUUCCUUGCGGAAGAAAUUAUUACAUUUUUAAAGUUAAAAGUGCUAAAGCACAAUUCAAAGAAAAUAAGCAGUACUAAACUUAACAAGCUAGUUCAAUGGAGGAGAAUGGUGUGCUGAAACACUAUGAUUUUCAAAAAAAUUGAAGCAUAUCAGAUCCAUGCUGCUGCAUUCGCAAGAAACGAGCACCCAUCAACAAUGUGCUAAAUGUCAAUGCAGAGCUUUAAAUCAUCUACAGAGGCUCAUGAAGAAAAUAGGCAUAAAUGAUAACAGAUAACACACCAGAGCACUCUACGUAAACUGAUAUCUUUAGAAAAUUCAAAGGCAUGAAUGAAAAAGAAAAGCUAGAAAUAUCUAAGUCAGCUCUUAAUUUGUAACAGUCCACAACUUCAUGUUUGGUGUGUACUGUAAACUAUGCUCUCCACAUAAUCAUGAGCUUCAUCUGCAAAAAACCAUUUUCACUUCUUGGGACAAGGGAUCAAAAAAAUACAAACCUGUUGUUGGAUUACAUUCAUAAUUUAUAUCAAGCACUAGAUGCUGCUCGAAGGAAGUCCUUCAAGGAAAAAAAUCAGGAACAAAAAUGCUGAGAGGUCCAUCUUGGAGGUCAGAAAGCUGGAGUUCUACUAGAAGAAGAUACCUCUGGAGAGAGAAAUAAAGGAAGCCUGAACUGCUUAGAGUUUUCUUACCGAAGCUUCAAGUUAAGAUCAUUUUCAUUUCAAUUUGGAUGUAGAAAUAAUGAUGGGAUGUGAAAAUUAUAUUUUCAUUUCAGAGAGCUGGUUGAUUAUAUUUUGAAAAAGGGUAUAUAUGAAAGUUAAAUCCUCUGUUCAAAUGAACAAAGGGAUCAACUUGAGCAAGAGUCAACAAGCUAUCCUUCGAGGUCAAUGGAACAUACCACUCAUAUUAAUCUUCUACUAUUUAGGGGAAUUCAUACAUCCACUCAUCUUAAGCUGGAAAACUUAUGGAAAGCAUUCGCAAUUGUUUCCAAUGUAUCGACUGUAAUCAAUCAAUAGAUCAUCAACUAUUGUCCUCAUUGAAAGUUUCCUGCUCCCUAUAUAGAGAAUGUCUGAUUAAUUUCAUUAAAUAUGCAUGAUUCCACUGUAUGUUAGCUAACCAAAAGAGCCUACAGGCCAAAUAAACAACAGGAAUAAGAGAAACUACUUCCAACGCCAUCAUUUCUCCUUUCUAGUAUCAUCUUUUGUUUAAUGUUUAAUGCUCGUAGCCUCUGAGCACUCCAAACUAAUUUUUAAAAUAAAAUAUCAAGAGAUGGCAGAAAAUGAAUGUGCUCAUCAACUAUUUUCCUCAUUGAAAGUAUACUGUGGUAUUUUAAAUUGCUCCAGUUUUUAAAAAAUAGAAGGCCACAGGCCAAAGAAACAACAGGGAUAAGAGAAACCGUUUUUUAUUUGAGAAAAUACGAUACUGCAAACUAUUUCUUAUGAAUAAAUCCCGUAUUACAAGAAGCCAAGAAUUGGUUGGUUGCUCAGCACAACAUAACUCAACAUAACUGAUACAAACAAUUACUGAUACAAGCACAAGGACAAACACAAGUCACAUCAAAAUAGAAAGGCUAAGCAACAAGAACACUUCUCACAGGCAAAUUGCUAAACAUGCAGUGAGCAACCAUUGAUUUGGAAUGCGACUGCUUCUCCACAGAGGAUUGCAACAAAUUCAGAAAGCAGCCCACACGCUCCUGAUAAGAUCCAAUCACCUUCUGAAUCUGGACAACUUGGGAAAGUUAAUUGCCAAAAAGCAGCAGCAAGUGUCAAUGCAUUCUUCAAUGAAGUAAAACCACCUGCGACGCCAAUGCGGAUUUAUGCACAGUACUGCUGCAAUUGUCAACACCACAGUUAUGUAAAACACACCAAAGCUGGCAUAGAAACUGUCCAUGUCUAUGAAGCCACCAUCUCCAUUGAAAUCAUUAGGCACUCUCGCGGAUGGUGAUUCUGUUUUGUCGCAACUAUUUUGCAAUGGAGGUCCACAAAGAAGAGGAUUCCCUUUAUAACUGCUUUCAUCAAAGGUACCAAAUUGAUUUUUCAUCUCCGGUGUUCUUCCUGACAAAUUAUUGUACGACACGUUAAAAACUGCUAGAAAGGUCAGUUCAACGAGUUGUGCAGGAAUUCUCCCAUUCAAAUUGUUGUGAGAAAGAUCCAAGCUCUCUAGCUGCUUCAGAUUGAAGAAGGAUGAAGGGAUCAAUCCAGUGAGAUUAUUUUGUGACAGAUUUAGAGAAUGUAUCCCACUUAAGUUUCCCCAUUCUAUCGGGAUUUCUCCAGUGAAUCUGUUACAAGAAAGAUCCAAAGCAGACAUGUAACGAAGGAUUUCGCCUUCAUAAGUGUAGAAGUUUUUCUUUGUUGUAAGCUCUACAG
rnacentral:lncRNA from 1 species